rnacentral:lncRNA from 1 species
GAGUCUUUAGCUAUGGAGUAGUUACAUCUGCAGCCCACAUAUGUCUUUCUUUUAGUUUGAUUUUUUUUGUUCACACAUACGACACUGUAGGAAAUCGUCUGUUCUUCAUCAAUCUUAUACCAGGUCAAAAUCUGACAUUGGAUCGAGACUUGUUAAGCAGGCAUAGUCAGUUAAGAUGUUUCCCACCACACGUAUACAUCAUGUUAUAAGUCAUAAAUACAAGUAGCUACUGAAAGACAAAAUCAUGUGUUGUCUAAUGCCUACUCACCACUCAAUGUGCAAUAUGACGAGAUCUUUUAUACAACUUUCUUCUUGCUCUAUAUAAACACUUAACUAAGCGUUACUAAAAAUCAUCACAAACUCACUUGUCUAAGUCUAAAGCCUGAACUACAAAAAAAUAUACAGGUCCUAGUGUUUUCUCAGUUUCUCUGAACUCUUAUCUGAAAGAUCUAUAGCAUCAUGGGUAUCCGUAUGCCUCGUAUUACUAAUCUUAAGCAGAUCCUUAACAGGUCGUCGUUCUUAUUAAAUCCUGAUCUUACGUCAACAAUUCCAAAGGGGUGCUUGGCAGUUUAUAUUGACACAAGAAUCCCACUUUGAGCCAUUCCUUCAGCUUCUGCAAGCAUUUCCUCUGCAUCAAUUUGAUAACUAAUGGUGUGAUCCAACGUCAGGCUCUUGUUCCACAUUUAUCUCUUUAUUAUGAACAACAGCUUUCAAACCAUGUCCAGUAACAGAUUCAAGUCUCGAGCCUCGGGCUAGACAGGAUUUUCCACAUCCUCUCUAAAUUUCUUAGCAUACUCUACAAUCGCCUUGGCCAAAGGAUGCUCACUAUUUACCUGAUACAAGUUCAUCAAAGCAGUUAAUUAUGAUACAAGUUGUUUAACAGAUGACAUCCAUAUCACAUUACCUAAUGCAGUUUGAUUUAUCGACUCAUAAUCUACAAUUCUGUUGAAUACAGUAAUUUUUGUAUAAACUCUUAGACCGAAGGCACAAAAAUGUAAGCCCUUAAACCAAGAAUUUACCUCUGCUGCAGCGAUCAACUCGUAAAAUUCUGUAAGUACCAUAUUUCUUAGAAGCUUUGUGUCAACUGCAUGUCGCUUGCCCAUUGUGAGAGUCCCAGUCUGUCACAAGUGUGUUUAAGACGAUGAAAAGCUUGAACCGAAUUGUAUAGAACAGUAAUGGAGAUCUAAAACUCUGUAUAUUGAUAGUAAGAAAGCUACAGUUGUAUCUCGAAAUCCAAAAUAUUUGCAAAAGUUGGAAAAAUAUGUAAAAGGAAAUUCGGAAUUUAAACUAUGAUAUUUUAUGUAUAGUCGAGUGAGAGAAAUCAUAUACCUCACAACUACUGUACUAUGCAGAAUCAUAAAACUUAAAAUAUAUUAUAUAUCCCUUCAAUAUCCCUUCAAUAAUUUGAUGUUAGCUAGCACCAAUGUUAGCUUCGUCAUCGUCAAAGUGUUCUGCUAAAAACUUUGCUUGUUUAAUUUUGGAAGGAUGCAAAAAAAUUAGAUCUAUAUGGAUCUAAUAGUAUUAUCCGCUCAUUUCAGGAUGGGGCUAAAGAGCCCCAAUACCCCUUGUUGGCUCUUGCAUUAGUCAAUGCUCAGCUGUCACCAUUAUUCCAUUGAACAAUUAUCUUCAAAUUUUGUGAAACGCGUUAGAACUAGAGAGCCAACUUGGCCAACAUGGAUGCAUAAUGCAUGCAUCUGAUAUCAGGCCCUGCAUAAAUAUGAACACUGUUAUAUUUUACAUAAAGAAAAACAUCUGCUCUUGCUACUUGCCUUUUCCUCUAUUUCGUUGAAAAAUAAGCACUUGUAGUUGGUAAUUGUGCGCAAAAUUCAACAUCAUUCCAUAGAAUUGUAUUGAUUUGUAUUGUGACUUUGUGCGAGGCCUAUACAGUUGACUUCCCUCGUCAACUUCUUUGGAAGGUAACUAACUUUUUCUUUUACUAAGCAACUACUUGGAAGGUACCUAAUUUCACUUCCAAGUUCCUAUCAUUUUGUAUUAAUCUGCUAAUUUUGUGUUAGAAAUACAUCUUCUCAAUAAUGUCUAAAGUAUAGAUUAACUAACAAUGUUUUGAUUAGUUGCAGGUUUCUAUCCCUCAUACUAAUUUAAUUCAUGACAAGCUAAUUCACCAUGGAUCAGAAUGCCUCGUUUUGUCAUGUCUUCUUGAGUUUCAGAGGGGAAACCCGCAACAAGUUCACAUGCUUCUUGUACGAGGCACUGAAAGCCGAAGGAUUUACAGCUUUCAUGGACAGAACUGCCAUACGUGUUGGAGAUGAAGUAGAUUCAACAAUCAAAGAAGGGAUCAGAAACUCUAUGAGCGCCAUAAUUAUAUUCUCCCAAAAUUAUGCCUAUUCUACUUGGUGUCUUGAUGAACUUGUUCUUAUCCUUGAACGCAAAAAGAACUCGAGGUACUUUAUUAUACCAAUUUUUUAUGAGGUCGAAAUUCGAGAUAUUAAACACCAGCUCGGAAAUUAUGGCCUUGCGCUUGAAAAGCAUAGGGCUAGGCACAAUGACAAGGUAGACAAGUGGAAAGAAGCUCUUGCAGAAGUUGGUAAUAUUCUUGGACAGCAUGUAGAAGGGUAAUUUUUCUUCCUAUUCUUCACUGUAAUUCUUGGUUUAGAGCGCAAAAUAUGCACCUGAGUUUGGAUGAUAAUAUGUUUCUUUUAUCACUUUCAGGCUGCAGAGCACCUUUAUCCAAAACAUUGUAAAAUUGUUUCGAGAGAAAUUGGCUGCCAAGUUCCCAGAAUGCCGCCUUCCUACACUAGAAGGUCCAAGUUCACAAGGCAGUUCUUCAUCGUCAAUGUUGAGACCUAAGCCAUCCAACGACAAGGUGAUUCUUUACACAAUUAGUGUUAAUAAUGGCCUAGGUGCAAAUGGGUUGGUAAAGAAACUUCUGAUGAGUGGGAAUGUUGUAUUUGAGGAGAGGAAUUGUUCAACAGAAUCAGAGUAUAUGAGAGAGCUAGAAGAGCUGGUCGGUAAUGACAGGGUAAGGUUCCCUAUGGUGAUUGUGAAUGGGAAGGACUUGUGCGGAGAAGAAGAGGUGGAGGGUUUAGAUGAUUUCGAGAACAAGCAAAAGCUUAUAUCAGUACUGAAUCAUCUCUAUGUUUCUGCAAAAACAAUAGAAAACCUUCAUGACAUGUUUAGUAGGAGUUUAACAUUUCAAAGUAGUAUUCAGGACCAGUGGAUCAAUCGGAGAUACUCUUAGUGGUUGUGCUACUUCUUUUCCUGUUUCUUUACCAUGUUUCUUUUAAUAUAAAUGUAACUAGCUCUCAUUCUUUGACUCUUCAUCUUAUUUAGUUUUGUGUAUGUCGUUUGGCUUCUGUCCUUUUAGGACUUGCUAGGCGAGCCUAACUCCGGCUAUGAUACUACUGACAUAAGCUGUAUAGCUCCAUCAGGUGUAGGUGUUGGGCUUGCUAGGCGAGCCUAACUUCCUAACUCUGGCUCUGCCUUUGAUACUACCUGAAGGGCUUGCUAGGCGACCCUAACACGACAAUAGUGACAAUAGUAUCUGUUUUAGGCUGCUUAUAUUCUCGCUUUCUGCCCUUUUUACUGCCGAUGCGAGACAAUUCCUAACAAUAAGAAUAUCCCCUCCUGCAGAUGGGCUAAACUAAGAAUAUUAUCAAUCUCCGCAGAUCAUGUUUAUGCCUGAAAAGAAAGAACUUAUAAAUUCUGUUCUGCUAGUGAAUUGUAUUAUUAAUUCAAUGUUAUUAGUCCCCAAAUAAUAUUUCGUGCCUCUCUUGAAACAUAUAAUUUCCAGGCAUCCCUAUCAACCUUUUGAUCUUGUCUCUUGCAAUCUUUUCACUGCUCUGCCUAUCCCUCCUUUAGUAAUUCAGACUUCUGUUUUGUCUCCUUACUAGGCUCGAAUCCAUUUAUUAUAAAUAUUCACCAAACAUAUGGCACCACAAUUUAUUCGUUAUACCAUAUUUGUGUUUGAAAAUGCGGGUAACAAAGCCGCACAUUGUCAAGUCAUUUUGAGCAUAAAAUGGAGUGAGUCGUGAUAGCAUGUUCAUAACGAGUCAGGUUUGGAUUGUGUUUUCAAUUGAGCUCGCAGAUACAUACUUAACUGUGAACAAAAAGAGAGGAAUAUCAAGAUGUUUGAAGAGAUAAAUUCAUUGGUCACUGAAUUGUCAUAAUACAGAGAAAAAAACUAUCUACAUAUCUUUAUGUACAUUAAGAGCAAAGAUAUAAACAGUUAAUGUUAGUAGUUUUGACACUAAUCCACAGCUUCAUAACACCUCCUUUGUCCAUGCCGACCCAUCAUGCAAACUUCGUGCUAUGGUCCUAAAACUAACCAAAGCAGCAACAGAUCCUCGAGCAGCUACCCAUAACAGUUCCUACGGUCCAUUCAUUCCUGGAGAAAUGUUUAACAUAUUAAAUUACCUGUACACAAGUUUAAUCGCAGAACCAAACUCCAUUGGGCAUUAGGCUUCUCAAUUUUAGGCAACGAGUAUGAGCUGCAAUUAACAGAAAUGUUUAACAUAUUAAAGUUGUUGAAGAAGUUCAUGGCAAUGACAUAUAUACAGUUCUAGUACAGCAUUCUUAUAUUCUAGGUAACUUACAUAUACGCUCAUGCUGGUUACACUGACAGAUCACUUUGGUUAAAGUGUUCCAUGUCUCUUUUCAUUUGGCCCCUUCCACAAAUCAUGCAGCGCCAGGAUGAAUUGAUUGACAAUGAAGAUGAGUACGAUGAACUCUAUGGUGAUCUUAAUAUUGAAGAGGGUUUCCUUCAGCCUCGGCCCUGAGGCGCCUGGUCCAAAUGUUAGCAGGAUGGACACGCUACAAGAAAAAAGCUAAUAGACAUCAGAUUCCAGCCAACGUCUUUCUUUUUUUCGACCGAUGUUGAUGUCGGUGAUGUCUAUACUAGACAUCAGUCGGUAACCGAUGUUUAAACCUAACUUACACAUCAUUUUUUACUGAUAUUCAGAUGUCUAUGCCACCAUUUCUUACAAAAUAUAUUACUUAUAACUAAGUUAAUACUAAUAUUACUUGCAAUUUAAGGCAUAGAACAUGUAAUUACACUAACUAAUCAAAGGCUUAAACAUCAGGUUUUACACAAGAAAGUGAUUUGUAUUUUGUUUUAAACAUCACCUUGUACUGAUGUCUAUAUCUCCAUAUAACAAAAAAUUUAAAUAAACAUUCUAAUUAAAUUUUAUUUAAAUAAAAUUGUUUGUUUGAUCUAAUUUCGCAGUUAUAUACCAAGAUCUAACUUAAUUUGAAAUGAGUGCAAAAAUGAGAUUUAUCAAAGUGUAACUUAAUUCGAAAUGAGGGGUGCAAACGAGACCAAAAAUUUGUAGGUGAUCCACUUAUACGUUCAAAUGAAGUUAAAUGAUCUAAUUAGUGUUAUCUUUAUACAUAUACAUGGUUGAGCGUUACGUACCGUUGACUUUGAUAUUACUUUUUCUUGGCCAACGCAUUCUGAACUCAUGAUCAACAUCAUUAAGAAAAAUGCACCAGGCCUGAUUACAAAGGCCAACGCAUUCUGAACUCAUGAUCAACAUCAUUAAGAAAAAUGGACCAGGCCUGAUUACAAAAAGAGUGCUGCAAUUUUUCAGUCUUCUAAUAUUCGGAUUAUAAGACAAGUGUACACAUAAAUCAGUUAAAUGUUUACCUGAACUUCGUAACCCUUACAUUAAAUUAGGUGCAUAACUUCUUUAACCAUUUCUAGUUUUGUAAAAAAAAUCACAUCCUGGUUGACUAUGUAAUGCAUAACUUCUUUAACCAUUUCUAAUUUUGUAAAAAAAAUCACAUCCUGGUUGACUAUGUAAAAGAUAUUCGCAGAUCACUUUUAUGUGAAACAAGACAGUAUUACAAAGUGAGGGUCUGUCAGUGUAAUAUUUAUUUGUAGUUUAUUACAAUACAUUUUGAUGAAAACAUGUAGUUUAAAAGUGAAACGGUGAAAUAAAAAAUUGACAAAACAUUGAUGCUUAAAUAAAAAUAUAUAUAUUUCUUUACCAAUUAAUAACAUAAUUAUUGCCGAUAUAAAUUUAUUAAUUUAAAUUUUUAUGAUAAAAUUUGUAAAAAGAUAAUUUACUAAAUUUGAAAUGAAUAAAUAGUACAAAACAUUAGCUACCGUAAAACAUAUUACCGUACAUGUCUCAAGGAUGUGGAUUUCAAGUCGCACUGGAGCAUUUUCUUCAUUAUUUCGGAUAAUUCUUCCCACAAAUACUGAAAUAAGAUGAACAUCACAUUAUUUUUGCAAUAUAAAAUUUUAUGAACUAAUUUAAAAAUACAAAGAUACAUAAAAUAUAUGAUUCUAAGAAACAAAUUAUAUUAACAUAUUAAAGAUAAUUAAAGUGUGUCACACUGGGCUUUCAUGUAAUUACAUUCAUCAUGAUCAAUUUAUACUUUAUCGAAAACUUCAUAUCUUAGAUCAGAACUCAAUGAUCGGAACUCGAUCAAAAAUCAAUUAAAUCCAACAUUCAAUUAAAUCCAAAUAUGUACAAACAAUAAUAAAUCCAAAAUAAGGCGUAAAUAUAUGACAAUGGCUUACCGAUUAUGCAUGAAAUGGACACAAAUCAUUGUACAUAUGAUAUAUCGAAAAAUAUCAUAACAAUGAUAGAUUAUUGUGGAUGGUGGUGAUAUAAUUUUUACACUAAAAAGAUAAUAAGUUAAAGAAGAGAAGCGGGUGCAAAAGGUAAAUUAGGAAGGAUAGGCUGAUGUGGAAGGUAAGGUAGAGUUUCAAGCGGAGAUAACAAGGAGAGGAAUGGAAAGGUAAGGUAGAAUUUCAAGCGGAGAUAACAAGGAGAGGUAAGGGCUGAUUGUAUCAAACUAAGAAUGUAGGAUAGGUUUUUAUUCUAAUGAGAUGUUAUGCCCAAAAUUCUCAUGGGCCCGGGCAGACCCACAAUUGAAGGACCAUCAAGAUGGGUUCAUUUAGUGGAUAUCACAAGUCACUUCGGUCCACAGUUAAGUUGGACCGCCCUACAUAGCAUAAAAGGGCUUGCUAAUAAGAGAAAUUAUCUAGCCUUCCUAGCGAGGUGGCUGCUAGAAAUGAUGUGGCCUCUAGGGGUUGCUAGCCAUUGGGCUUGCUAACCUAGGCCUUGUUGAGGGCUUUCCAUACUUGGGCUCGUUGGGAUGGCCUCGCUUCCUCACUUCAAGAUGACCCUGGCCGGAGAAGUAUGCUUUAAAGCAUGUUUGUCCCGGUUUAAAGCCGGGACCUAUAAAUCACUUUUAUUUCUAUUAUUUAUUUUUGAUAACGAAUAUGUCCUUAAUAAGUCAAAAUUACUCAAACAGAUAUUUGAAGCUCCCAUGCUUUUCUCAUAAGUCAUGUUAAGUCAUAAGUCAUGUUAAGUAAUAAGUCAUAAAAGUGCUCUGUUGCCUACCGAAAAACCAAACACAUUAUCAUCCAACAAUCAUAAAUCGAAUAAUAUGUCUUGACACAUGUUGACAAGUAUAGCAUUUCUGAACUAAUUAUAGAAAGAAACUAAUUGAGAAAAGCAUGAAAUGUUGAAUAAUUGAGAAAAAUAGGAGAAUUUACCCCUCUACAAACUUCGAGCCUGUUUGUCCUCGCUUUAAACUGGGACUAAAAAUUGUAUUCAACUUUAAGCUGAACAAUGUCUGUCUGUGUAAUAAUAAGUCAGAAGUCUGCUUAAAGUCAGAAAUAAGCCACAAGCUGGCCUAAACCCAGAAGUUAGUUUGAGGUACUUUUUUCUGUAGUGACUUAAAUUUUGUUAAAUUGUUUUGUAUAAAAAUUUCUCUAAGUCAUAAGUUACCCAUAAAUCAAUUUUAUUUUUGUUUAUAUAUUUUUAUUAACUUUUAAAUCAUUAUUAAUAAGUCAAAAUUACCCAAACAGACAUUUUAAACUCCCAGCUUAUCACAUAAGUCACGUUAAUUCAUAAGUCACGUAAAAUUAUAAAUCAUAAGCUCAGCCGAACAGGUUCUUCUACAAGGGAUUCUCUUCACUUCUCCACCUUGUCCUUGUGCCUCGCUUUAUUCUUUUUUAGUGUGAGUAAUUUCCUAGCUUUUUGUAUAAUUAUAAUAGCCGUGUUAAAUCAUAUUUUUCGACAUUAAUUAUUAAAAUAAUCUAUACCUUAUUACAGCUUUGUUAAAAAAUAAAGUACCGGCUCCCCUACACAAAACAUCCCACAUACAUAACGAAAUAAUAAGUUAAUUUCUGCAUUUUCUAUUUUCUCAUUUCUCUCGCGACUAUUCUAUCCCGACAUCAUCUCUCUCUAUAACCAUGCAUAUCCCUUUCACCCUCUCUCUAUAACCCUCUCUCUUCCACCCAACCUCCCUCACAAUCUUACAUUACUUCGGGUCCGUCCUGUUUAUAGCUCAAUUCAAUUGGUAGUUUCAAGAACUAUCCUUUAUUGGAGUCCCAAUUUAGACCUGAAUUGAAAAAUCACAACUUUGGGACCUAGCUUUGACCCGGCUGAAUUUUUAACCCGAUAGGUUUGAUUGGAUUUUAGGGUUUUGAAUAGAUGAAUUGGAUUUUGGGGUUUCAUAACACAUCUUCUUUUCUCGGUUUUAUGUAAGUCUAUAUUCUCAGUUUCUUCAAUUGCAUCUUAUAAUUUUACAUUUAUUAUCUUAAUUCCUUGUUCAAGGUCAUGUUCUACUGAUUUUUUGGUGGAUGAGAACAUGUGACUUUAGGGUCUUUUUUAGAAUGUAUGCAAAACUAAAUUUAAUUUUAUCAUAUUCUUUUUUCGUAAUUCGGUUUCCUUUGCCUUCGCUAAGUGUGCAUUAAAGAGAAACAUAAUGCGUUUGAGUGAAAUAAAACAUAUUUUAAUUUUUAUUUAGGAAACACUCGAGGUCAUUCUAAUUGCCAGCCUUUUAUUUUGUAACAAUUGUGUGUCAUAUAUAUAUUUCUUUAUAUCCAACACUCACAUACUCGGGAAAUUUCUAGAUAAUUCUACAUCCUUCCAUACCACUCUAUAAAAAAAACCAAUCUUAUAUUCUUCACCUUCAUUUCAUACCAUCAUCUCUCUUAUUUUUAUGGUCCCAUUCCAUAUAUGUCUUAUUUUCACAAGUUUUUAAAUUGUUUGCGUGAUAUGAAUGAUCUAUACGUAAUUUUCAACCACAUAUUAAAUUGGUAAGUGAUGGCCUGAAUAAGUUUUUUAAGCAUUCUUAUAUACACACAUACACCAUGGAUAUCUAUUUCAUAUUGAUAUAAUUUGCAGUGAUUAUACAUAAAUUCUUAAAUUUCAUCAUCUUCAAAAUUUUAAAUUAUAUUUAAAAUUGAACCAAAAUCAAAAAUAGAUAUAGAACAUUGAUUUCAUUGGUAUUAUCUUUAUUUUACAGAUGAAUUUUUUUAUUCAAAUGGAGAGUAUGUGGUUCUUCGAUACCGUAAACAAUGAAGAAAAUGCUCCAAGAACGAUCAAGAUCCGCCCUUGCAGUUUGAAGGUGAAAUUUUUAUAGGUAUGUUCUUCUUGCUUCGAUUAAAAAGCUGAUGCUUAAAGUCUACUAUAUCACGGCUAAACUGCGAGGCAAAAGACUUGUUAACCGACGCUAAAGGAUUGGCCUAUACCAGCAGGUUGCAAAACAACGACGCUAAAGGGUUGACUUAUGGCAUUGGGUUUGUAGAAUGCCUUUGCCUACAGUCCGCUUUAAAAUAAAAGUUAUACCUUUUAGUGUCGGUUAUAUUUUACAAAAUGCCGACGCUAAAAGUUUUUUUUAUUUAUAUGUAUGUAUGUAUGUAGCGAUGCAUAUUUUGCAGAUUAUAAUAUUUAGCGAUGCAUAUUUUGCAGAUUAUCCCAAGUUUUUGGCUGAAACAAAAUUAGUGGCUGAUGAACUGGGGGAAGAUCAUAUUUGGAGUGAAAUAUUCUUCAGGGAAGCCACGGAACAAGAUAAGUAGAGAAUCAAGUCAGCUCUAGAUAGUGAAGGGUCCUUUCCUGGGAACGCUGAUUGGGCUGCAAAGCUGGGGGCAAAUCUUUCUUGCAGUGCCAACCUAAGUCAAUAUACUUCAGCUGAUGUAACGCCUAGAAAAUCAUCAAGAAGUCACACAAUUUGUUUAUCCUCUGAGAGAACCAAAGUGUUAGGUGCAAAGUAUCGUAGAAGGGGGGGUUGAAUACGAUACUCACUACAAUUUAAAAUUCUUUCGAAUCUUGCGGAUAAACAAAUUGCAGUUCUGUAAUGGGUUUCGUGUUCCGGAUAUUUAUUGGGUCGGUUCCUGAGGAUAUGAAAAUAUUAAACCAACACACAAUAUUUUCCAAGGUAUAUCUGUAUAUUGAUAAAUACCUCGAAGGUGCUAUAAAUCCAAACCCGAAGGUUGGCUGCAGAGACUACAAUACACUCUACACACAAACGCCUAUCAAAACAGAUCUUCUAUCUAAGCUCUCGUAUGUGUGUAGUGUGUGCCCUUUACAAAGUGUGUAAUGUGGGUAGUUGUAGUUGUGUGUUCAAAAUGAAACACAAAGCCUCUAUUUAUAGACUUGGGAUUCAACACUCAGCUGGUGCUUGUUCUUGGCGCAAGGAAGCUUUCAACCAAUCAGAACAAAGCUUCCUCGUUCCUUGUAUUAGCUUCCUUGCUCCAAUCUACCUUGCUCCUCCUUCAACUUGCGCCAAAACAAUUCAGAAGAAAUGUUUACAUGAUUUAAAUGGCGCAAGGAAGAAAUAAGAAUUGGAAAUUCCUUCCUCGUUCCAGUUAAAUCAAUUUAACAGAAUUGUUUAAUAAACUGGCGCAAGCAAACCAAUAUCUUCCUUGUUCCAAUUGGCGCAAGGAAGACAAUUCCUUCCUUGUUCCAAUUGGCGCAAGGAAGAAGUGGCUGGAUGAUGAAUUUGGCGCAAGGAAGAAUUAUAAUUAAUAAUUCUUUCCUUGUUCCAUUCUUGGCGCAAGGAGGAAUUAUAAAUAAUAAUUUCUUCCUUGUUCCAUUCUUGGCGCAAGGAAGAAUUAAAAUAAUUAAUUCCUUCCUUGUUCCAUUCCUUCCUUGUUCUUUUCUAGCUUGCUCCAUUUCUUCCUUGUUCCUCUCUAGCUUGCUCCAUUUCUUCCUUGUUCUAACUUAGAACAAUCUAGCACACUUAUAUAUAUACAUAUAUGUUACACAUAUAUACAUAUAAGUGUUUACUAGUUAAUUUGGAGGUCGCUUUGCCUUGACUUGAUUAAGUUAUUCUUGAUUGAAUCCUUCGAAUCCAAUUCACACGUACUGACGUCCUGUGCACUGGUCUGGUUCACGAACGACUAAUACAGAAUUGAUUCUCCGUCUUCUUUUCUUGACAACGUACUUAAUCAGUCACACCAGACUUGAGUAUUGCUUCAAUUUGUUGAUUAUAAAUAACCAACCAAGAUAUCCUGAAAUAUCUUGCUUCAGGGGUUGCACUGAAAUCUUUCGAGUACUUGGACAACAUCUUCAUUGCUUCCACAAUCUUGAAUACUUCAAUCUUUAUUCUUCACUGAGGCAUGAACAUAUUAAUGAACUUCUUCCAGUGAACUUAUUCCUUCAAGACUGUAGAUGGCUUCUUCAACCUUUGUCUUCGUAUCUUCCGAUUCCGGUGCAGGCGUAGUGUUAUUUACUUGUCCUGUUCUAUUGUUGAGUUAUCAUCCCUAUGUAACAGAUAGGGUUGUCUUUACAUUUAGACUUACAAUCUCCCCCUAUUUGUUUGUUAAUCAUAACAAGCAAAUCCUCUGGAGGAUAACUCAACUAACACUAGAAAAAGUAAAGUCCUGGACUAGUAAAUAAUGCUACAAAGUUUCUGGAUCAUAUAAUACAUUUCCAGAUUUCAUGAAUAGAAAUAACAAAUGUGCAUAUCACCUUUAUUUCUCUGGUUCUUGCUUACCUGCCAGAUAAUCCUCAUAGUCUGUCUUGAAGAGAAUUCAAAACAUUCCAUUAUGCAAAGAACAAUCUGCAGCUUCUUUAAAUUCUUCAGUGGUGAUGAAUAAGUUCCUGUGUACCACUUUCUGAAGAAUAAAUGUAUCACCAUGAUUCCUCAAAAGUAAAGAAACAAGUCUUUGCUUAUGCUUCUCCCUCUGACAAAGAUAGUGGUGAACCAAUACCACUACUUCCUAGGAAUCAUACCACGUACCACCUGAAUAAGAAUACAACACAGUGGUGAGGUGUACAUGAGUUGUUAUUACUUCUCCUCCCAUUACCUUGAUCAAGUACCCCUUGGUGAUAAGUAGCUAUCUCCCCUUAGAUGAAAGAUCAAUCCUCCUCCUUAGUUGAAAGAUGAAUCUCCUCCUCCGUAUUACACAGCUAAAGAGUAGUUUACUCCNNNNNNNNNNUUCCUUCCCCUUUCAUAUAUUCUCCCCCUAAAUAUAUUCUCCCCCUUAGUUGUGGAAUCCUCCGAGGAUAUGUGGUAUCAAAUAUGGUCAAGGAACGUGUCCAAUACAUCCUGUACCAAAAGAUAAUAUCCCCGUAGAGAACUAAACAACGCUAAAGCUGGGGUCGAAGAAAGAGUUCAGAAGAAGGGUUUACUUUGAUUGGGUUGGUCCCUAUGCUGAAAGAAUAGGUUCCAAACGGAAAAGUAAUGAGUAAAAUCUGACAACCGUGUCCCUUUGUUGUUACCAAAUGAUAAAGCUUCCCGAUAUUUUUAGGUUGCAAUACCAAUUAUUAGAUCCCUGAUAAGGUUUCGAUAACAUCUUUAACAUGGCUCCAACGGCAGUCAGUCGAACAUUCCAGUGAAAGUAUCCACUUUGCGUUUAGGUAUGAAUUUGGUAUUCAGUGGUUAUCUCACUAAACGUUCUGCAGGUGUAUCACUCGACACUCAAAUUUCUCUCGGUUUUUGGGUAAGGGUGUCACUCACGAGUUCUGUAAGUGUAUCCCUCCACACAAAUACUGAGCUUCCAAAAUGCUGAGUACCUGCAAGAAAAUCACCUUAGCCACCCUUAAAGGGGGUCACCGGUGGUGCAAUGGGAGUUCGUAAUUCCCAGUCCCUGCAGACUCAUCAGAUAAAUCCGAAUCAUGGUCCACAAGUUGCCAACCACUAAGUGGCUUAUCCAAUUAAGGAUCCAGAGUUGUUUGCUCUGGGAGGUUAGACAAAGGCUUAAUUAUGGCAAAGGCCUAAGUCCUCCUCAAUGUCUGUGAAGACACUUGAUUCAAGAGAAUCAUCAACCAUAAGUUCACACCGUGAAAUGGAAUGAACCGUAGUUGCUUCCGUCAAUUCUUUCAACAACUUGUGAGCUUUCAAUACCAAUUAUUAUUAUAUGUACCUCACAAGUGUUUCACUCUUCUCAAAAUCCUAUGUGUUUGCACUCACUGAUGCUCACAUAUUUCUCAUUCUAAUAUCUCACUGGUUCUUCUCAGAAUCUCACCAAGUGUUUAACUCUCAGUGUUUGGCUCACAGUGUUUUUCUCAGCACUCAAAGUAUAGUCUUCUGUACCUGCAUGAGAAAAUCACCAUAGCCCCUUCAAGAGAGGUCACUGGCGGUGCAAUGGGGUUUCGUAAAUCCCCGAUCCUCAACUGACUCAUCAAUAAAUUGACUCAUAGUCAGAGAGUUGCCGAUCUCCUAUAAAUAGGAAAUCCAUUCCGAUUGGAUCCAGAUCUGUUCUUAUCUGGGGAGGGAGACGAGAAUCCUGAAGAUUUGGCAAUAGAGAUCCUCGUUUCCUCCUUACACCUGUAAAGGCAUCAACCAUCUUAUCUACCGUAAAAUGGUAAAUGAAGAAGUUGCUUCUGGAACAAAACCUUUAACCUUACUGUGCACUCUCUUGUAUUGUGUCCAUAAGAUUUUCUGUUUAGGCUCUUCAUCAGAGUGAUUACUGAUGAUGUGCUUGACUCAAUACAAGAUGCUCUGGCUGACAAGCGAAUUUCAAUGGACUCACCCUGUUGAGAGAAUGAUUCCAGAGACUGUUUUAUUGCCUUUUCAGCUCUAUAUUCUUUUGAGAGAAUACAGAUGAGCAACAGUUACCUCAGUUUUGAAAACACAUUUUCUCCUUGAGAGGUAGAGCUGUGGGUACACUAUCCCUCACAUCCUUAUUUGCUGCAACAAGUACAGUUUCUCCCUCAUUGACUUUUUGUUUGAAAAGUUCCUUAUUACUCCAUGGGGAAAGUUGGGAUGUGUUCUGAAUUUGGUUUUAUAGUCUGGGAUAAAGAUUGUUGGUUUUCAACCUUAUGACUAUCUAGGAAAGCCAAGAGGCUGAUUAAGUUCCGAAGAACAGAAAGAGAUAUAAAUGCAUUUUAGAAAAUCUAUGAUUUUGAAUGAAAGCAAUUGCAUUUAAUCUUUUGAGGAAAAAUGAAUCAGUUGUGAUUGUAAAAAUGAUUUUCAUAAAGAAUGACAAUCACAACCGAUGAAAGAAUCAAAGUUUUCCAUUAAAAACUGGUUUGAGUACGAGAGUCUGAAUCUAUGCAUAAAAGGUUUAAAUGAACUUGUCUUUGAAAAAGACACAGACUCCUGUUUCUCACUACAAUUUAAAAAGGAAACAAGAAAAUUUAUGCGCUACAGUGUAUAAAGCACUCGCCACACUAAUUAGUGAAAAGGCCUCAUACUAGCACAUCGUCAAAACAGACGCUGCAAGUGACAAAGAUCACCAAGUACACAAAUACAAGAUAAUCAAUGUCUCGUCCUAUGACGCUACAUGUAUAGAUGCAAAAUAUUCUAAGAAAUAUUUAUGAAAUAGAGUAGUGGAUACCAAUUUUUGAAAUCAAUUGAUAAGGAAAUUUCUUUACAGAAACUCACCACUCCAGAACAUAAAUAUGAGACAGAAUAAAUAUUUUGUUGUCUCCCUUGUACUCAGAAUAUUAAACACCUAAAAUAUAUUAGCACUAGUGGUUUUAAGAAAUAUGCAACAAUAUUUCACCAGUGCCAAUACAUCACAAUCAAUUCACAAAUAAAACAUCAAUAAAGCAUCAAAAAUAGAUACCAAUUAAAUAUUUCAAAAAUGAAUUAAUCAUGCUUCUAUUAUUCUAUCAAAGUCAAUCAUGAAACAAAUAAGCAUAUAAUUGUCAUGGAUCACAAUUUAACUAAGAUAAAAUAAUAAUUACCUACGCAAUAUCAUAUAAUUAUCAGAUCAGCAUAUAACAACUAAAAUCAUGACAAUCAUACAAAGAUAUUCGCAAGCCCGAGGGAAAGUUGAAGAAAAGUUCACGAGUCUUAUACAGAUAAUCAUUAAACACAAGUGAACUCACACAACUCCUCGCAGAAAAUAUUAACACUUAAUAUUAGUGAUCUACAUAUAAGCAUGCAAAAAUAUCACUAACACUAAAAGUAUCACAACUAUAUGCAGUUAGACAUGAAAUAAAAUAUCAAUUAAUAAAUCAUCAAAUAUCCAACACAAAUAGUUAUGCUUCAAGUAUAUACACUAAUAUAAAUGGAUUCAGCCUAGAGAGAAUCUAAGUAACUCCACAAAUACUAGUAUAUCAUGACUAAAUUCUAACUAGAUUCUAACCACAUACCAAUUACUGAUACAAGUCACAAGUCUAGAAACAAAUAAGUCAUGCUUCAGAUUUUAUACCUAUAAAAAUGAAUUCAACCUAGAAAAUAAUCCUAAGUAUGUUCACAAAUACAGAUAUAUCACGACUAGAUUAUGACAAAGUUCUCUACUAGAUACCAAUUGUUGAAGAGGUAUAGAUCAAGAAAAAUAACAUAAUUAAGUCAUGCUUCAUGUCAUCCUAAUCAUUUAAAUCAUGAACAAAUAAGUCACUUAAUUGUCAUGCAACACACUUUAAAUAAUUGAAAUAACAAACACUCAUGCUAAAACAUAUAAUCACCAUCUAAGCAUGCAAAGCAAUAAACAUGGCAAUCACAUAGAAUAGCAAAAAGCACGAGGUACUGGAUUUUAAAUAAAUUCAGAAGUCCAAUGUAUAGACAAUUUAAUACUCAUGAAUUCAUUUAAGAAAUAUGAUAGACAUGCUCAUGAAAGAAGUAAUACCUUAUAGAAAAUAUAGUAUGUGAUCUACUUGCAGUUAAGUAAAGUGAUAAGUUGAAUACCUCUGAGACUUGACAUUUCAGUUGAUGUACCUUUCUUGUACUGAUCAAGUCCAGUGGUUGUUGGCAUAAGUCUUGGCAGGUCUAGAAUCUUCCAAAAUGCGCAUAUUCAAAAGAUCCUUGACUUCCUUUUAUUGCCAUCAUUCUUUAGGCUAACUAGUAGACCAUAAAGAAUUGCAACUUUCCAACAAACUCAUCAUAUCACUAAUCUGCAUUCACUUAGCAAUUAUCUUGCACAAGUGACGUUAGUCCACAUAUAAUAUAAUCAUGGUAUCACAGCACAGAUAGUUGUAUUGUGUGUGCCUUGUAUCAUGAGAGGUAAUAAUUUGGAUACCAAAUAUGACUCUAGCAAACAGAUAUUAAAAUAAUAUGCUAGUCAGAAGUCAUACCAUGUCCGUGACGAUCAUCAGGUGUUGGAUAGCAACUCAUAGAGAGCUGGUGAAGAAAGAGAAUACAAAUUCCAUUGGAUCUGCAACUGCAAAGUCCUUGAAAUGUUGCAUGAAGCUUCAUCUUCUAGCUCACUGUAAUAUCCUGAACCCGAGUCUCGUCAAUGGUGCUUUAGUUCAAUCAUGAAGGUCGUUGAGUCCCCUAAGAUGUAGAGUCCUGAACUUGAAGAUUCUGUUUCCAUCAUCUUCAUAACCUUCUCCUUUGUAGUAACUCUAAGCAACCAAAUUGGCUUGUCCCUCGUAACAGAGCCAAAAACAUCCAGUUGGAAUCUAAAUACCCGACAAGUACUAAGUACUAAAUUGUCAUUAGGUCAGGUAUUAGAAUCCGCACAAUCUGCUUUUUAAAUUGAUUGAGAUCAUCUUGCUGUGCAAUCACUCAAUCUGGAUCCCUUUAAGAGCUUCUGAAUCUUCCUCAAGUUUCACUUCAGAUUGAAACCCAAAGAAAUAACAUCCUUUCACAAUAGCUCUCCCAGUCUUCACUUCACCAUUAGGAACAUUUAAGAACUAGAACCCGGGAAUGAUAUUGACUCCAAACCCUUUGUCUAAGCAGAUACGUUCUUUAUAUGUCCUGUUCAUCUUGUGUGGUGUUGAGUUUGACUAGUAGAUCCACCAAAUGCUCCCCCUAAGCUGUUGCUGGGAUUUCUUUAAUAAUCCUUAUCCUUGCAAAGAGAUUCUGCUUGGAUCUGAAUCAUCAUUAUACCAAUAAUAUCACCUUUAACAGCUUGGAGCAAAGUGUCGUUCAAUGUCCUGUCCAGACUUACAAUCACCUUCUGUUGAUUAAUCACAAUCACCCUGUAGACUGUAGACUCCAUUGAGUAGCCGAGGAAAAUAUUCUUUGAGCUUCAAAUGCAAGACUUGCAAAGAGGCAUUUUCCUCCAAACACAUACCAAGAGUUAGUGUUUGCUUCUGAUUGGCCACUGACAAGAAUGGUGUCUUUCUGGAUUUAUCAAUGAUCAGGGUUCAUCUUGAUCAACCUUCAUUUGUGACGUCUUGUCCUUCGAACACAUACGAACAACACGAAAGAAUCUAGAGUAGUCAAUGAUCUUCGCAAAAAGAUAUUUGGCUUUGUUGUAGACAUGACAUUAACUGAUCCGUAGAAAUCCAUACGUAUCAUCUGAAGCGGCUCAGUAAUAUUGAUCAUAUCUUUGCUUCUGUGCGAUGCUCCUUUGACUUCCCUAUUGACAUACCUCAUAAUCUUCAUCCAUAAUGAAUUCCAGAUGAGGCAGUCCUCUCACCAAAUCUCUUCUUACUAAUAAAAAGAGCUCCUUGUUUUGACAUACAAGUUUGAGAGCUUCAAGUGCCAUAGCUAAUACUCAUCUGAUGAGGCUUCACUAUCAAAACAGCUCACUCCAUCUUCAGUUGAAGUUCCAUAUUAGCUACGAGCAAAAUUCACAUCCUUCCUGAUUUGAGAUAAAACACUAUUCCAUGAACUGACAUACUGUCAUUUGUUAGAGAACAGUCUGAUACUAGGAAUUUGUGUGCUUUGACUCUUCCAAGAAAGAUAUGCUUCCAUGAUGACAUUCCAGGAAAACAGGCAUGUCCCGCAAGAGAAUCUUUGUUGUCAUCUUUCAAAGAUUAUUGACGGAACUGCUCACACGAUCACAUUUGCUAACAGGGUACUUUUGGUGAAUCAUAUGAUUUCAGCUACUCAGCAAACAGAGUGCACCAAAAAUCAUAUGGAUCAUAUGUAACCUGCAAUCACAAAUGGAAAGAGUUCUAUGGUCCCCAAUCAUAACUGGGUCCGGAUGGAUUAGAGAUUUUUCUUUAACAGUGGUAACAACAGAAGCAACCUUAACAUGCUAAUUCUUAUCUAGACAUUGCCCUAAUGUGAUUCUCAAACAUGCUUUUCUAAAAUCAAUGCAAGUACAAAGACAUGCAUUCAUGACAUGAAAAUAAGCAGACAUGAUGUUGAAUACACAUGGCAAACAAUCAAAGAUAAGACAAGAGCAAGACAGGCAGUUAUGCAAUUCAGAAGAUUCAGUACUCUCUACUUAAACCAAUUAACAUAAGUGUAACAGGUAGAAAGCAGAAUUACAGAUAUUCAAUAAUCCCCUAAAAGCAUAAUGAUCAUAGACAAAUUAAUAAUCACAUUAUCAAUUCAUACUAAUCCCACUCUAUUGUUAUAUGGCAUUAUACUAUCUCUAUUACCUAAGUCAGUUUUAGAUCUAACAUGAAGUUCUAAAAGUUCUACUGACACAAGGUAGACAUUCCAUCAUAGAACAAAUAAAUUCCUUAACAAACAAUUCAGAUAAAUAAGCAAAUCUAAUUGUACUAGGGAAUCUGAAACUAAGUGUUUUAACAAAGUUAUAUAUGCUAGGAUCAUAACCCCUAAAACUAAGAGUCGUGUUCCAAAGGAAAGCUUCUAAUCUCACCAUUGCAAAUAAUCAAAUCCUAAAUAUUCAUACACAUGUUAAGAAUCUGCUAAAGACACAUGCACAAGAUUAUCAUCAAUCCUAGUUACCAGAACAGUGAUCUAGCAUACUAGUUCAACAUUAUCUAUUGUGAUGCUAUCAUGCUUGUGCUUGUGUGUUAAACAAUUCUACUCAGAGAUUUAUAACAUGCUUUGAAUAUAAAGAAAUAUGUAUUGCAUAGUUAGAAAGAAUUCGUACCUGAGAUGUGCGAGUUGAGUCAUCUUCAGAGAAUGCUAGGAUAGCCAGAUAACCAUAAUCAUCCUUCUCAUUAGUAAUUGAUCCAUCUCACACCUUUCCUUAUGUAGCAUAAGAACUUGUUGUGAUGCUUCUUUCAAAACAUCCACUUGAAUUUCAGACAAGCCCUAUCAUCCUUGUUUGUCGAGGCUUCAAUAUGUAUAGCAACCUUCUUUUGCUAAAGAUACCAACCAAUAUUGUGUGUACAGACCAACUCAGUUUUGAAAACAACCUCCUUGAACUGAACCGUGAAGAGUCACCACUUGAAACCAAUGGAUUCCAUCUGAAUCUGACAUGACUAAACCUCUCAGACAGUGUUAUGCUAAUCCUUGAAGUUCUGUCCUCACAUUCUUAUCCACUUGAAUUUCAGACAAGCCCUAUCAUCCUUGUUUGUCGAGGCUUCAAUAUGUAUAGCAACCUUCUUUUGCUAAAGAUACCAGAAAUAUUGUGUGCGCUGACCAACUCAGUUUUUAAACAGCCUGUUGAAUUGAACCCUGAAGAGUCUCCACUUAAAACCAAUAGAUUCCAUCUGAAUCUGACAUGACUAAACCUCCCAGACAGUGUUAUGCUAAUCCUUGAAGUUCUGUCCUCACAAUCUUCAAAAGUGUUAACUUUCGUCGACUUGAGCUUCCUCAAAUUCAGAAGUUACAAACUCUUCUGUUCAAUCCUAAGGUUCUGACAUAAAUGCACGAAACUGAUUUGGUGCGGUAGUAACUCAAUAACUAUAUCCUUAAACCUCCACAGUUUUCUGUCUUUGAUUCAGUUGAUUUUUGAUGGAUUCAGCAUUGAUACAAUUCACUGUGUAAUUGUAUAUCCAUGAAUCACUGAGUUAGAUUGAAAUCCCUUGAAGAUUCUUCUGUAAAAACUUCUACUUUUCCUACUACCAGUGGUGCCAUUCAAAGUUGACAUUCCGAGCCCUGGAAAGAUGCAUUCAACACAUAAAGCAAGUUCCCAUCCUGAUCUGGUGAUCUGAUAAUCAAGUAGGAGUAAUUACUCAGAUCAAGGCCUGAACUACCUUCUUCAAAAUCCACUGUCAGUAGUACCAAAUUAGUCUUCAAUAGAAUCUUCUUCGAAUCACAAUUAUCUUUGUCGAACAUAGAAAACUGCUUCUAAUAAUCCUUUGAGAAAUCAAUUGGAUUGGGUCAUCAAUGUACUUCCAUUACCGGUUCUGAGAAUCUGGUAUUUGAAAGUCUGGUGUUUGUCUUGUAAUCUGUCAGCCUGAUCUGUCUCAACUAAAUGCCAAUNNNNNNNNNNNNNNNNNNNNNNNNNNNNNNNNNNNNNNNNNNNNNNNNNNNNNNNNNNNNNNNNNNNNNNNNNNNNNNNNNNNNNNNNNNNNNNNNNNNNNNNNNNNNNNNNNNNNNNNNNNNNNNNNNNNNNNNNNNNNNNNNNNNNNNNNNNNNNNNNNNNNNNNNNNNNNNNNNNNNNNNNNNNNNNNNNNNNNNNNNNNNNNNNNNNNNNNNNNNNNNNNNNNNNNNNNNNNNNNNNNNNNNNNNNNNNNNNNNNNNNNNNNNNNNNNNNNNNNNNNNNNNNNNNNNNNNNNNNNNNNNNNNNNNNNNNNNNNNNNNNNNNNNNNNNNNNNNNNNNNNNNNNNNNNNNNNNNNNNNNNNNNNNNNNNNNNNNNNNNNNNNNNNNNNNNNNNNNNNNNNNNNNNNNNNNNNNNNNNNNNNNNNNNNNNNNNNNNNNNNNNNNNNNNNNNNNNNNNNNNNNNNNNNNNNNNNNNNNNNNNNNNNNNNNNNNNNNNNNNNNNNNNNNNNNNNNNNNNNNNNNNNNNNNNNNNNNNNNNNNNNNNNNNNNNNNNNNNNNNNNNNNNNNNNNNNNNNNNNNNNNNNNNNNNNNNNNNNNNNNNNNNNNNNNNNNNNNNNNNNNNNNNNNNNNNNNNNNNNNNNNNNNNNNNNNNNNNNNNNNNNNNNNNNNNNNNNNNNNNNNNNNNNNNNNNNNNNNNNNNNNNNNNNNNNNNNNNNNNNNNNNNNNNNNNNNNNNNNNNNNNNNNNNNNNNNNNNNNNNNNNNNNNNNNNNNNNNNNNNNNNNNNNNNNNNNNNNNNNNNNNNNNNNNNNNNNNNNNNNNNNNNNNNNNNNNNNNNNNNNNNNNNNNNNNNNNNNNNNNNNNNNNNNNNNNNNNNNNNNNNNNNNNNNNNNNNNNNNNNNNNNNNNNNNNNNNNNNNNNNNNNNNNNNNNNNNNNNNNNNNNNNNNNNNNNNNNNNNNNNNNNNNNNNNNNNNNNNNNNNNNNNNNNNNNNNNNNNNNNNNNNNNNNNNNNNNNNNNNNNNNNNNNNNNNNNNNNNNNNNNNNNNNNNNNNNNNNNNNNNNNNNNNNNNNNNNNNNNNNNNNNNNNNNNNNNNNNNNNNNNNNNNNNNNNNNNNNNNNNNNNNNNNNNNNNNNNNNNNNNNNNNNNNNNNNNNNNNNNNNNNNNNNNNNNNNNNNNNNNNNNNNNNNNNNNNNNNNNNNNNNNNNNNNNNNNNNNNNNNNNNNNNNNNNNNNNNNNNNNNNNNNNNNNNNNNNNNNNNNNNNNNNNNNNNNNNNNNNNNNNNNNNNNNNNNNNNNNNNNNNNNNNNNNNNNNNNNNNNNNNNNNNNNNNNNNNNNNNNNNNNNNNNNNNNNNNNNNNNNNNNNNNNNNNNNNNNNNNNNNNNNNNNNNNNNNNNNNNNNNNNNNNNNNNNNNNNNNNNNNNNNNNNNNNNNNNNNNNNNNNNNNNNNNNNNNNNNNNNNNNNNNNNNNNNNNNNNNNNNNNNNNNNNNNNNNNNNNNNNNNNNNNNNNNNNNNNNNNNNNNNNNNNNNNNNNNNNNNNNNNNNNNNNNNNNNNNNNNNNNNNNNNNNNNNNNNNNNNNNNNNNNNNNNNNNNNNNNNNNNNNNNNNNNNNNNNNNNNNNNNNNNNNNNNNNNNNNNNNNNNNNNNNNNNNNNNNNNNNNNNNNNNNNNNNNNNNNNNNNNNNNNNNNNNNNNNNNNNNNNNNNNNNNNNNNNNNNNNNNNNNNNNNNNNNNNNNNNNNNNNNNNNNNNNNNNNNNNNNNNNNNNNNNNNNNNNNNNNNNNNNNNNNNNNNNNNNNNNNNNNNNNNNNNNNNNNNNNNNNNNNNNNNNNNNNNNNNNNNNNNNNNNNNNNNNNNNNNNNNNNNNNNNNNNNNNNNNNNNNNNNNNNNNNNNNNNNNNNNNNNNNNNNNNNNNNNNNNNNNNNNNNNNNNNNNNNNNNNNNNNNNNNNNNNNNNNNNNNNNNNNNNNNNNNNNNNNNNNNNNNNNNNNNNNNNNNNNNNNNNNNNNNNNNNNNNNNNNNNNNNNNNNNNNNNNNNNNNNNNNNNNNNNNNNNNNNNNNNNNNNNNNNNNNNNNNNNNNNNNNNNNNNNNNNNNNNNNNNNNNNNNNNNNNNNNNNNNNNNNNNNNNNNNNNNNNNNNNNNNNNNNNNNNNNNNNNNNNNNNNNNNNNNNNNNNNNNNNNNNNNNNNNNNNNNNNNNNNNNNNNNNNNNNNNNNNNNNNNNNNNNNNNNNNNNNNNNNNNNNNNNNNNNNNNNNNNNNNNNNNAUACUGCCUUUACAAUUUGGUGCAUAUAUAUGGCAACAAAAUUUUUAAAAUUAAUCUACUUGAUAGAACUCGUGCCUUCUCUGCUACCAGUCCUUUUAUAAUAUUUAGCGAUGCAUAUUUUGCAGAUUAUCCCAAGUUUUUGGCUGAAACAAAAUUGGUGGCUGAUGAAAUGGGGGGAAGGAUCAUAUUUGGAGUGAAUAUUCUUCAGGUAAGCCACGGAACAAGAUAAGGAGAGAAUCAAGUCGGCUUUAGAUAGUGAAGGGUCCUUUCCUGGGAACGCUGACUGGGCUGCAAAGCUGGGGGCAAAUCUUUCUUGCAGUGCCAACCUAAGUCAAUAUACUUCAGCUGAUGUAACGCCUAGAAAAUCAUCAAGAAGUCACACAAUUUGUUUAUCCUCUGAGAGAACCAAAGCCACGUUGAAGAGGAAGAGACUUGCUGAUAUUGAGCCUACAUCAAGGGGCAAGUCUCCUGUAGCUGAAGAAUCUGUGAAGGCACCGAAAGAUCAACGUAUCAUUGUAUACAAAAGGAUUUACAAGAAUAAGCACAAGGUAAAGGCAGUCCAGGAGGAGACUCCGAUCUGCCUGAACAGACUUAGGACCAUGGCACUGAAAAGUCGGAAGGUGGACCGAGGACUAUACUCAGGUCAAGAACUGCAAAACACCCUCCAAAGAAGGCUACUCGGUGAAAAGACGAGCUCGUUUCUAGUUUAACAUGUCCUUGGAAAUUUCUUCACAUGCAUUGCCGUCGAUUCAGGCAGCUUCAUUAAGCCUUUCCAAUUUCAGAAUAGAAUUUUCAGCCAAAAACGAAUGCACAUAAUGUUGUCUUACAUUUAGAUGAACCAAACUGCAUGAUAAAAAUUUAUGCAAUUAUAAUGCUCAUAUCUUCUGUAUAUCAAUUUUUGUUAUCUUGUUUAUAUGCCAUGGAUUUUGAUAGAUGGUUAAGCAGGUUUUAAGUACACAAUCACUGUACAUUAUGCAAGGAACUGCAGGAGGAAAAUGUUUAUGUAUAUCGUGUAAAAGUACAAAAUUAAGAACAAAACAUUUUUUUUGGAAAAAUUAAAUUUAUUACCUAUCCUGUCUUGGUACUUUAUAUAUACAUAAAAUACGAUAAAUACACACAUUAAAAAUCCGCUUUAUUACCAAAGCAAACUCCAGGCAGCAGUCUGUUCUGGAGAGAGCUUUUUUAACUAAAUUAAAGUGGGGUCUGAAAUGUUUGGGGAGAAUGGAGGGGAUUAAAGAAAAACGAGAGCUUUCUACAGUUGGAGGUUCGUGUAGACAGAUCCAAAUACUGACUACAGUGGCUCAAACACAAUCAGACUGAGCCCAUCUGGAUGAAAGCCUGUUCUUUGAACACACGAAGACCACGUCUUCCUAAGGUAGAACCGGACAUUGGACUUCAACGCUCACACCCCUUGUUCUGAGUUUCCCCACCUCUGAUCCCCUCGGUGAUCCCCUCGGCCAUGACCAAAGGAGACGGGAAUGAUGGGAAUAAAAGAGCUGGUAGAGCACAGAGCACUUGCAGUUACCAUCUCACUCACUUUGAACCUAGUUGCUUAUUCUCACAUCGGAAGUGAAUCGAGAGGAACAUUCAUCACAUUCUUCUCUUUACAGGUCGAUCCGAUCACCCAAUCAGACAGAAAACUGGUUCGAACACAUGUAUAUGUAAUAUUUGAUAGUAUGUAAUCCACAUUAUGUAUAAAACACAACUCGAUAUUAUGUAAUUAAUCUCAUUGUACCGGAAGUAUGUUAUCUCAAAUCUUUUCUCCACACAUGUCAAAAGAUUCCUUCUACUUGUCAAGAAAUUAUUACCAAAUCAAAUUAUGAAAAAUUUCAUCUAUAUACAUACAUUUAUUCAAUAUUCUUCGAUUUUAGUUAGAUGAUAAAUUAUGCUUCUCACAUCACCAAAAAAUAAUAUGUAUUAUUUAAUACUCUUCAAUAUUAACAUGCACAUUUUUCUUCAAACACGCUCUACAAAUCAUUUUUUCCAAUCAUAUUCAAUGAUUUGUAUUAUGUUGAAUCUGACACUUUGCAACUGUAUCAUAUUUGAAAUCUGAAGCACUACAAAUUGAUUGAUUGUAACCUAAUAUGUAUAUGUAAAAUUUGACGUCAAUAAAUACGAAAGUUGCAAUUUUAUUACAAGGGAAAUCUAUUAUAUCAAUCUUUUCAUGCAUAUAUAUCUUUUUCAAUUCCUUUUGUUUGCAUAUAACAAUAUUAACACCCUAAAGUCCCUAAAGUAAAUUAUGUAGAAGUAUUUGUUUCAUCUAUUUACAAUUAUACAUCCAAUAUUCUUUUAUGAUAAAUUUUAUUUUUGAAGUCUUACAAACACUAUCUGAUUUUCUGUCAUAUAUUACUAUACACACAUUCUUUUCUUAAACACUAUCUGAUUUUCUGUCAUAUAUUAUGCAGUUUUGAGAAAACUUCAAGAUCAUAUACUCUGCAACUUUUCAUUGGAGAUGAUAUCAUAUAUAUAUAUAUUAUCAAUCUAUAAUAAUAUUCAUUUUGCUCCUUUAUCAUUGUAAUUAACGUGGAGUCAAGGUAUUGACAAAUAUUAACAAAUUAUAGCUGAUUUGACGUAAAAUCUGAACUUGUCAUUCUGUAUUAAAUAUAUAAAAUCAUACUGUACAGUUUGUAUAUGUUAAAUAUGAUACUAUGUAAUUCAUACAUUAUAUACAAAAUUUGACACUCUACGACAUGCAUACUAUGAAUAUAUAUAUAAAAUAUGAUACUAUACAAUCUCAUUACAAUGAAAAUCCAAUAUCUCAAUUAUUUCCUCCAUAUCAACAAUAUUUCAUUUACUUUACGACAUUACUUCAAUAAAAACUUGAAAAUUUCACAAAUAAACACAAAGAAAUUAGAUGUACAUUUCAUUCAUCACAUGAAGACCGAAAAUCAACAAACCAAAAGGACACAUGACAAAGAAUACCAUUUUAAUUUUUUUUUAAAUGAACUUGGAAGCUCUUUCACUCCACUAAAGUGAUAAUAUUAAAAAAACAGAGUACACAGCUGUAAGCAUUUGAGAUAAGAGUGUGAACCAAAUUCAACAAGAUGAGAUCCAAUUUAAGAACAAAAGACGAUAAUUCAUACAUAUGAUAUUGAAAAUUAAUGAUAAAAUCACAAGUAGGUGGCUGAACAACAAACACAAUAAAAAAUAUCUUCAUUCUCAUCCUACUUAAAUCCAAAAUUCAUUAAAUAACCGUUUUUAUUUGUAAAGUUUUGGUUAAAACAAAUUCACACAUUCCGAUUCUCUUUCUUUUCUGCGAGGAAAAUAGAAAAGAAAAAAAUUUGAAUCGAAAAAGAGGAGCACCCACUCUAUGUAUUACCGGUACCAAGUACCCAAACAUACAAUAUACCAGCACAGCUUCUCUCUUUCUUUUUACUCUGUCUCUCUCGUAUCUCUUCCUCAAAGCCCCUCCAUCUGGCCUUUCUGAAAGCUACACAUAUCUUGUAACAAAACAGAGGUUUUGCAAUGGCUUAAAACCCUCCCUUUAGCCCCUGAGUUUCGUCCGACCCUUGAAGAAUUUCAGGAUCCAAUUUCGUCCGACCCUUGAGGAGAUGGAUUGAGUGAUGAUUUUGAAUGUGGGAGAUACGGAUUGGAAUUUGAGGGGUGCAGCGAGGUCCAGAAGGUGUCUGCUGAGAUUUGUGAAGGAUGAUAUACCCAGUAUUACAUCCCCAAUAUGGUGUAUAUAGGAAUGUUAUUUAGCUGGUUCGCAUGGCAUGUGAAAGAUCAUGACCUGCAUAGCCUCAACUAUAUGCACACUGGUGAGAGGAAGACCUGGUAUGGAGUGCCUCAGAAUGCAGCAGCCGCGUUUGAGGAUGUGAUCUGUGAUCACGGAUAUAAUGGAGAGAUGAAUCCUCUCUGUGAGUUUGGUUAUUAUUGAAAUUAUGCUCCAUUUGUCUCAAUUUAUGUUUGUCAUAGUAUGCUUUUAACAUGUGCUGUUUGCAACUGAUAUGAUUUUAUUGGGUGCCGAAAUUGUCAUUGCCAUGCUUAACAAACCAUUUUUCUUAUUUGUAUGUCUAAUUUAAUGUUUAGUUCUGUGGGGUUGAAGCUUUAUGCAUUUUAUGAGGGGAAGUACUUAAUAAAUUCUGCAUAUUGUGUCAGAAUGUCAUAGUAUGAAAACCAUUGAAUUGUUCUGCAUAUUUUUGUUCAUUACUCACUAGUUUUAGUGUGAACAACUGCAGUGAGUUAUGCUACUCUUGGUCAAAAGACUACCGUACUGUCUCCGGAAGUAAUUGUAAAUGCAGGCAUACCAUGUUGCAGGUAAGUGUUUCAUAUCUAUGGUUGACACUUAUCUUUUUCUGUUAAAAGUUUAUAACAAAAGGCCUGAUUUGUUCCUUUUCCCACUGUUCACAUGUAGACUUGAUCAUUAGGACCUUUUCACAGAGCAUCAAUUGUAUUUAUCUGACUGUAUUAUUUUCUGGCUAGGAAGCACCGACUCGGGUACGGCGACACGGGACACAGGACACGGGAUACGGGGAUUCGCCAAUUAGCGAAGAGUCCUGGAUACGGGACACGACAAAAAAAAAGUAAUAUAAAAUAUAUAAUUUAUAUAUGUUGAAUAUUAAACAACUUCGCACUUGAACUCAUUGUCCCACUCGUAUAUUUAUAUAAUCAAGUGAUCUUUAGCAAAUAUAUAUAUAAAAUGUAUGUAUAUAUAGGCUUUUCUGUAUAUAUAUCAGACUGAGAGAUGAAAAACAGAGGGAGAUAGCUAAACAUUUAUAUACAUAUUAAACAUUUAUAUACAUAUAGAAUCUGUAUACAUAUAAAAGACAAUUGGUAUUAGGUUAUAAACAUUACUGGGCCUUUUUUAAAGUUGGGCAGAGGUUUUGGUUGCAUGUCGGCUGCAUUUGUGUUCCGACACGCCACAUGGCGUAUCGGAUACGUACUCAGCCGUGUCGGUGCCGUGUCCCCGUGUCAGCCGUGUCCGACACGCAUACGGCAGCUUUAUUGCCGUGUCCGUGCUUCCCAGUUUUCUGGCAAUGUAUUUACAUAUUUCUUCCCCCUCCUUUAUUCCCUUGUGAAACCAGGUUGGUACAAAAUCCAGGAGAAUUCUUAGUCACUUUUCCAAGGGCUUACCACUCAGGAUUCAGUCAUGGUUAGACAUCUGUUUACAUUGGAUUUUGUCUGUAAUAUUUUUAUAUUGAUACUAUAUCUCCUAACUUGAACAUUUACACUCAAGAAAAUGGACCUGUUUAAUGUGAGCGGUUGCCAUAUGCAGGACUUUUUCCAUGUUUAGCUUGUGGGGUUUUAUGUUUGCCUGUGCUGCAAAUCUGCAAUCAUAAAACCUGGUGAAGUGGAUGUGCAUAGUCUGAUUUCGGCUGAUUGUGGCAAUAUUGGAGGUAGUGGUGUUGCUUCUGACAUUGCUUCUAGUAAUAGGUGGUUUUGCUCCCCUGGAUAUGCCAAGAAUGCUGUGCUGGAGUCUUGUUUAGGUAAUGAAUACAUACUAGUUUAGAGCUUUUCUCUGUAUAAAUUUCUAGUCAAACCCGUAGUAAACAUUUCUGUAGCUUUAUUGUAUGUCUAAACUUGUAAAUGCUUACGAAAACAGAUUUGCUCCCUUUCUCAAUCACAGACAUGCUAAGACUCCCAUACUAUAUUUUUUGCAUGCCAUAGUAUAGUUGUUUCUCGUGCAGUGUAUUUAUGGGUUAAGCUUUCUGAAAAGUAGGUUAAAUACAUAUCACGAAGGUAAUCCGAUUGGCAGUAUAAAGACACCCACAUUUUGUAGUGUGAUGGUGUGCUUUACUUCACUUUAGCAAUCAAUAUAAUCUUACUUGACUAAAUGCAGGGACGAUGGAAGCUUCCUGUAGUAGUAGACCACCAAAGGAUAUAUCCUCACUUGCUCUUAUAGCUUUGAAUUAUGAGGAUGCUUCCGACUCCGAAACUGAAGCGAGCGAAGUUCCCCCAGUAUCCGGCCUUGCUAAGGAGUCCUUUCCAUCACAUGUCUUCUAUAUUCAGCAUGCUUUUGAAGUUAAACAGAAACUGGAUGUGCUUGGGGGCAUGCAUAUGUUACUCCUUUGUCAUCCAGGUACAUUAUUAGUUGUAAUAGUUUAUACUUGAUUACGUGAUUUUAAGUAAUUGCUUGUAAAUCUGUUGUCAGGUCUGAUGAGAUUAUUCUUGUGAGUAUGAUUAUGGUUCUUUAUAGUUUCUACAACGAAGCAAAUUCAAAAGAUAAAGUGCCAUCCUUUGGCCCCAAUACGCAUUUUUAAAUUGUGACCAGGCAACUGAUUGCGGACAAAUAUAUGUAAAAAAUUCAAGAAAUGGAAGUAUUUGCUAUUUCUCAGAUUUAGAAAUGCGAGAACCCAAGCCACGCCAGACCUCAAUUAUUGUAUAUAACCCUGUCAUUUGCUAUAAACUUGUAGUCAAUUGCAGUUGAGAGAUAUCAUGUGCUCACAACUUUGCCCUCCGUUUUCUCUGUAACGCCUCCUAGAUUUUUGGCAAUUUAAUUAGCAUACAAAGAGUAAAAUGCAUUAUAUUUAUUGAUGAAUUGCAUACUGUCUUUACAAUUUGGUGCAUGCUGCAACGAAAUUGUUAAAAUUAAUCUACUUGUCCUUUUAUAACAUUUAGAAAUGAUUGUUAUGCAGAUUAUUCGAAGUUUCUGGCAGAAACAAAACUAGUGGCUGAUGAACUGGGAGCAGAACAAAUUUCGAGCGAUAUUUCCUUCAGGACAGCCACUGAAGAAGACAAGAAGAGAAUCAAAUCAGCUGUAGACAGUGAAGGGUCCAUUGACGGGAAUGUUGACUGGGAUGCAAAAUGCUGGGGGCCAAUCUUUCUUUCAGUGCCAACCCAAGUCAAACAUUAAAGAGAAAGGGUAUGCAUGAUCCUGAGCCAACCCAAAGAAGCAAGUUUCCAAGAUUUGAAGAGUCAGCCGAGGCGACAGACCAGGAACAGGUUAUAGUAUCUCAUAAUUUACCUAAGUACUACUCCCUCCGUUUCAAUUUACAUGUCCACUUUUAAGAAAAUUUUUUGUUUUAAAUUACUUGUCCACUUCAACUUUCAAUGCAAAAUCAUAUUUCCAAAGUCAUUUCUACUUCACAUAUCUCUUAUUUAUAUUUCCCAGAUCAAUCUCACUCCACAUAUUUUGAUCAUUUAAUACAAUUAAUUUGUGAACAUACACUUUUCUUAAACUGUGUGAUUUUUUUUAAAGUAGACAUCUAAUUUGAAACGGAGGGAGUACAUCUGAAAGAUCUAGAGCAUCAUGGGUACUGAAAGAUCUAGAGCAUCAUGGGUAUCCGUAUGCCUCGUAUUACUAAACUCAAACAAAUCCUUAAUUCACAGGUCAUCGUACUUAUCAAAUCCUGAUCUUACCUCAACAAUUCCAAAGGGGUGCUUGGCAGUUUAUAUUGGGGAGAAGCAAAGAAGCCGAUUUGUGGUACCCAUUUCAAUCCUGAAUGAGCCUGCCUUUCAAGGUUUGUUAAGUCAAGCCGAGAAAGAAUUUGGAUUCAAUCAUCCGGAAGGAGGUCUUAUGAUUCCUUGCUCAGUGGACACAUUCAUUGAUCUCACUUCGCGCCUGACAGUUUAUAAUUGAAAACAAUUUGUGUAUUUUUAGAUGUUAGAGCAACUUUGAUCUCAUCAUAUAAGUUAUGUAGGAAAAGCAUAAGUUGAUACUCAAUUUUUUUAAAUGUAUUGACCAUUUAUCUCAGUGUAUGUAUAUAAAUGAGAUUAGAACCAGUCAUACAAAACACCUCCAUGAAAGACUAGUUUCAAGAAUAAUUCCAUGUAGAUAUUGAUGUCUUGAAUUACAAAGUAUCAGCCAAUUCCCUGCCUAAAAGAUUUACAUGUUUACAUUUCCUGGACUAGUUCACAAAAUUGGUCUACAACUAUCUAACAACAUAAAUAUAUGUAUCUGCCUACAUAUAUAAACUCUCAUAAUCUGUUCAACAGAUCAAUGAAGGUGUCUUCUUUGCAUGGAAUUGUGAGGCCCCCUUCUGGAUGAGUAAACCCAAAUUCUUCCUCAGCUUGACAUAACAGGUCUUGAAAUGUAGGCUCAUUUAAGUAAGAGAUUGGAACUACAAAUCUUCUUCUUUGGUUCUCCCCAACAUAAACUGCCAUGCAUCCCUUGGGGAUAUUUGUAUUACGAUCAAGAUUUGUUGAGGAAAAUUGUCGGUUGAGAAUUUGCUUGAGAUUAGUGAUACGAGGCACGCGGAUACCCAUGAAUCUGACAAAAAAAGAAGCUUUCAGGGUAAACUUUGGGGAUAUGAAAAUACAAGGACUUCUGCAGAUUGAUCAAAUGAUUUUGACACAAGAUUACACUCAAUUUUAUAAUAAAUUUAUUUAAGUCUCCAAUGGUGUUUAUAUAGAACUGAUAGAAUGUAUUGGUGGUUGAUCAAAAUGCAGAUUGAGUGGCAUCUGCACAUGCUAUUCUCUUUCAAUGGCCACACAUGUUUAAGACUAAUGUUAGGACUUAAAUGUCUGUGAAAGACAUCAUGUCCUACUAUUUGUUUUGAACAAAUCUCAACCUGAAAUUUUCUUAUCUGUAUUUAUGCUUUAUGAUUAUGGUGGAGAUGCAUAUAAUAUGUAGUGAAGAUGAACCACAUGCAUCUAAAAGCUGGAAACUUCAAAUGUCAUGUUAUUAGUUCUUGUGGUCAAUAGUUUUAAGUUAGGUGCUCAUGUGAUGGUGUUUUUAUUACAUAAUCCCAGCUGCUUCUUUUGCUGAAUUGAUGUACCUUGUACUAGAAAACGCCAGCUGAUUUAACUUGUCAUAUUUAAUUAUCCUGAAUAAAAGGGUAAAUUUCCUCUAAGAAACAAACUAUCAGAUUAAAUGGUUGCGAUUCUGUCAAGUUGUAGCUGCAUUAUGUGAAAAUAUCAUAUCUGGAAUAAGGAAGGUAUACUAUCUGUAGGUGAUAAAAACAACGCCAAUGAACACUUAGUAUGUCAUCCCCACCAAAACAAUUUACGACAAUUUAAAAACGUAGAAAUUAUAUCCUGCAUGCCUCCCAAAUAAACUUAGUAUGAAACACUUAGAAUGUAGGGCAGCAUAUGUUCUUCAGAAUUUAUAUAUACCACUUAGAAUGCAGAUUGAGUGGCACAGAUGCACACUAUUAAAGACAAACUCAUAACAUAAAAUCUAUAUCCUGCCUGCUAGAUAGAUCUUUGGUGGAGUCUUUAGCUAUGGAGUAGUUAUGUCUGCAACCCACAUAUGUCUUCCUUUUAGUUUGAUUUUUUUUGUUCACACAUAUGACAAUUGUAGGAAACCGUCUAUUCUUCAGCAAUCGUAUACCAGGUCAAGAUCUGACAUUGGGUCGAGAUUUCUUAAGCAGGCAUAGUCGGAAUUGAUGUUUCCCACCACACUUAUAUACCAUGUUAUAAGUCAUAAAUACAUGUAGCUACUGAAAGACAAGAUCAUGUGUUUAGUGUCUAAUGCCUCACCACUCAAUGUGCAAUAUGAUGAGAUCUUUUAUACAACUUUCUUCUUGCUCUAUAUAAACACUUAACUAAGCGUUACUAAAAUUCAUCACAAACUCACUUGUCUAAGUCUAAAGCCUGAACUACAAAAAUAUAUACAGGUCCUAGUGUUUUCUCAGUUUCUCUGAACUCUUAUCUGAAAGAUCUAUAGCAUCAUGGGUAUCCGUAUGCCUCGUAUUACUAAUCUUAAGCAGAUCCUUAACAGGUCGUCAUUCUUAUUGAAUCCUGAUCUCGCGUCAACAAUUCCAAAGGGGUGCUUGGCAGUUUAUAUUGGCGAGAGGCAAAGAAGCCGAUUUGUGGUACCCAUUUCAAUCCUGAAUGAGCCUGCCUUUCAAGGUUUGUUAAGUCAAGCCGAGGAAGAAUUUGGAUUCAAUCAUCCUGAAGGUGGUCUUACAAUUCCUUGCUCAGUGGACACAUUCAUUAAUCUCACGUCAUGCCUGAACAAUUUCUAAUAGUGUUUUUUUUAUAUACUUUUAGAUAGUAUACCACCUCCGAUCUCAUUUGAUGAGCUUCUGAGUGUACAUUGUAGAACAGAGAUCUCUUCAUACAAACUUUGUAGGGAGCCCAUAAUUUGACACUCAAUUGAUUUUGAUCAUAUUGAUUUCUCUUAUUCUCAUAACUGGAUACUUUUUAUUUAUAUAAGCACAUAGAUAAGCAGUGGUUGAAAUCAUCACAAUUUUAAUUGUCUAAAGCCUUAUUCAUACAACAUACAACUUUACCUAGUAUUACUAAUCUUGAUAAAUCCUGAUUAUACUCUAACAAUUCCAAAAGGGUUGGUUAGCAUACCUGAAUGAACCCUGCCUUUCAAGACUUAUCAAGUUAACCCGAGGAAGAAUAUGGAUUCCAUCAUCCGGAAGGUGGCCUCAAAAUUCCCUGCACAGAGGACACGUUCCUUGACCUCACUUGGCGCCUACAAAAUUAUAUUGAAAAACAGUUUAUUUAAUCGUUAAAUAGCAUAGCAUCUCCAAACAUAUUUACUUAGCUUAAAAAUGUGUACAGUAGCAUAGAGAUUUUUAAAUUGCAUUAUAUAAGCGAGAUAUAAUAGUCAGAUACUCGAUUUGCACCAAGACACAUUGAUUACGGUUUCUGUUGAUACUGUUUCUAUCUAACAAAUUUUUAUCUGAAAACAAAUUACUAACUCUCUCAAAGAUAAGAAUUGUUCUUGGAACAUAUCCGUAAUAUACAAAACCUACAAAAAAAACCAACUAAAUAUGCCAAGGUAUAGCAGUCUAAGAGCCUGUUUGUCCAGGCUUCAAGCUGGGACUUUAAACUGUUUCUAAUUUUAAGCUGAAAAAUGUAUGUUUGUGUAAUAAGUUAGAAGCCGACUUAAAGUCAGAAUUAAGCCAGAAACUGACUCAAAGCCAGAAGUUAGUUUGAUGUACUUUUUAAAUCCUAAUCUUACCUCAACGAUUCCAAAGGGGUGCUUGGCAGUUUAUAUUGUGGAGAGGCAAAGAAGCCGAUUUGUAGUACCCAUUUCAUACCUGAAUGAGCCUGCCUUUCAAUAUUUGUUAAGUCAAGCCGAGGAAGAAUUUGGAUUUAAUCAUCCGGAAGGAGGUCUUACAAUUCCUUGCUCAGUGGACACAUUCAUUGAUCUCACUUCGCGCCUGAGAAAUUUAAAAUGGAAAACAAUUUGUGUAUUUUUAGAUGUUAGAGCAACUGUGAUCUCAUACGAUGAGCAUCUGAGUGUCAAUUGUAGAACAGAGGUUUUUCAUAUAAGUUAUGUAGGAAAAGCAUAAGUUGAUACUCAGUUUUUUGAAUGUAUUGACCAUCAGUUAUUCUCAAAGAUGCUUUUUAUAUUGAACCUGUUAUUAUUCCUAAAUCAAAUCACUAAGUUCCUUGUGAAGUUACGAUACUUUCCCCCCAAAUACAUCCCUACAUAUAUCAACACAGCCAUUUUUUAUAUUACUAUAACAUUUGCUUCUAACAAUGUGUAUUAUCUCUAGUGUUAUUACAAGUACUCUGAGCUAGUGUAUAUAUAUGAGAUUAGAACCAGUUAUACAAAACAUCUCCAUGAAAGACUAGUUUCAAGAAUAAAUCCAUGUAGAUAUUGUUGUCUUGAAUUACAAAGUAUCAGCCAAUUCCCUGCCUAAAGAUUUACAUGUUUAUAUUACCUGGACUAGUUCACAAAAUUGGUAUACAACUAUCUAACAACAUAAAAAUAUGUAUCUGCCUACAUAUAUAAACUCUCAUAUUCUAUUCAACAGAUCAAUGAAGGUGUCUUCUUUGCAUGGAAUCGUGAGGCCUCCUUCUGGAUGACUAAACCCAAAUUCUUCCUCAGCUUGACUUAACAGGUCUUGGAACGUAGGCUCAUUUAAGUAAGAGAUCGGAACUACAAAUCUUCUUCUUUGGUUCUCCCCAACAUAAACUGCCAUGCAUCCCUUAGGGACAUUUGUACUACGAUCAAGAUUUGUUGAGGAGAAUUGGCGGUUAAGCAUUUGCUUGAGACUAGUGAUACGAGGAACAUGGAUACCCAUGAAUUUGACAAAAAAAAUGAAAUUUUCCGGGUAAACUUUGGGGAUAUGAAAAUACAAGGACUUCUGCAGAUUGAUCAAAUGGUUUUGACACUAGAUUACACUCAAGUUUAUAAUGACUUUGGUUAAGUUUCCAAUGGUGUUUAUAUAGAACUGAUUGAAUGUAUUGGCCGUUGAUCAAAAUGCAGAUUGAGUGGCACAGAUGCAUUAGGCAUCAGCACAUGCUAUUCUCUUUCACUGGCCACAUAUGUUUAAGACUAAUGUUAGGAAUUAUAUGUCUGUUAAGAGACAUCAUGUCCUACAAUUUGUUUUGAACAAAUCUCAACCUGAUAUUUAUGCUUUAUGAUAUGAGAGUUCAUACAUAUAAUAUGCAGUGAGACGAACCACAUGCAUCUAAAAGCUGGAAACUUCAAAUGUCAUGUUAUUANCUUCAUACAAACUUUGUAGGGAGCCCAUAAUUUGACACUCAAUUGAUUUUGAUCAUAUUGAUUUCUCUUAUUCUCAUAACUGGAUACUUUUUAUUUAUAUAAGCACAUAGAUAAGCAGUGGUUGAAAUCAUCACAAUUUUAAUUGUCUAAAGCCUUAUUCAUACAACAUACAACUUUACCUAGUAUUACUAAUCUUGAUAAAUCCUGAUUAUACUCUAACAAUUCCAAAAGGGUUGGUUAGCAUACCUGAAUGAACCCUGCCUUUCAAGACUUAUCAAGUUAACCCGAGGAAGAAUAUGGAUUCCAUCAUCCGGAAGGUGGCCUCAAAAUUCCCUGCACAGAGGACACGUUCCUUGACCUCACUUGGCGCCUACAAAAUUAUAUUGAAAAACAGUUUAUUUAAUCGUUAAAUAGCAUAGCAUCUCCAAACAUAUUUACUUAGCUUAAAAAUGUGUACAGUAGCAUAGAGAUUUUUAAAUUGCAUUAUAUAAGCGAGAUAUAAUAGUCAGAUACUCGAUUUGCACCAAGACACAUUGAUUACGGUUUCUGUUGAUACUGUUUCUAUCUAACAAAUUUUUAUCUGAAAACAAAUUACUAACUCUCUCAAAGAUAAGAAUUGUUCUUGGAACAUAUCCGUAAUAUACAAAACCUACAAAAAAAACCAACUAAAUAUGCCAAGGUAUAGCAGUCUAAGAGCCUGUUUGUCCAGGCUUCAAGCUGGGACUUUAAACUGUUUCUAAUUUUAAGCUGAAAAAUGUAUGUUUGUGUAAUAAGUUAGAAGCCGACUUAAAGUCAGAAUUAAGCCAGAAACUGACUCAAAGCCAGAAGUUAGUUUGAUGUACUUUUUAAAUCCUAAUCUUACCUCAACGAUUCCAAAGGGGUGCUUGGCAGUUUAUAUUGUGGAGAGGCAAAGAAGCCGAUUUGUAGUACCCAUUUCAUACCUGAAUGAGCCUGCCUUUCAAUAUUUGUUAAGUCAAGCCGAGGAAGAAUUUGGAUUUAAUCAUCCGGAAGGAGGUCUUACAAUUCCUUGCUCAGUGGACACAUUCAUUGAUCUCACUUCGCGCCUGAGAAAUUUAAAAUGGAAAACAAUUUGUGUAUUUUUAGAUGUUAGAGCAACUGUGAUCUCAUACGAUGAGCAUCUGAGUGUCAAUUGUAGAACAGAGGUUUUUCAUAUAAGUUAUGUAGGAAAAGCAUAAGUUGAUACUCAGUUUUUUGAAUGUAUUGACCAUCAGUUAUUCUCAAAGAUGCUUUUUAUAUUGAACCUGUUAUUAUUCCUAAAUCAAAUCACUAAGUUCCUUGUGAAGUUACGAUACUUUCCCCCCAAAUACAUCCCUACAUAUAUCAACACAGCCAUUUUUUAUAUUACUAUAACAUUUGCUUCUAACAAUGUGUAUUAUCUCUAGUGUUAUUACAAGUACUCUGAGCUAGUGUAUAUAUAUGAGAUUAGAACCAGUUAUACAAAACAUCUCCAUGAAAGACUAGUUUCAAGAAUAAAUCCAUGUAGAUAUUGUUGUCUUGAAUUACAAAGUAUCAGCCAAUUCCCUGCCUAAAGAUUUACAUGUUUAUAUUACCUGGACUAGUUCACAAAAUUGGUAUACAACUAUCUAACAACAUAAAAAUAUGUAUCUGCCUACAUAUAUAAACUCUCAUAUUCUAUUCAACAGAUCAAUGAAGGUGUCUUCUUUGCAUGGAAUCGUGAGGCCUCCUUCUGGAUGACUAAACCCAAAUUCUUCCUCAGCUUGACUUAACAGGUCUUGGAACGUAGGCUCAUUUAAGUAAGAGAUCGGAACUACAAAUCUUCUUCUUUGGUUCUCCCCAACAUAAACUGCCAUGCAUCCCUUAGGGACAUUUGUACUACGAUCAAGAUUUGUUGAGGAGAAUUGGCGGUUAAGCAUUUGCUUGAGACUAGUGAUACGAGGAACAUGGAUACCCAUGAAUUUGACAAAAAAAAUGAAAUUUUCCGGGUAAACUUUGGGGAUAUGAAAAUACAAGGACUUCUGCAGAUUGAUCAAAUGGUUUUGACACUAGAUUACACUCAAGUUUAUAAUGACUUUGGUUAAGUUUCCAAUGGUGUUUAUAUAGAACUGAUUGAAUGUAUUGGCCGUUGAUCAAAAUGCAGAUUGAGUGGCACAGAUGCAUUAGGCAUCAGCACAUGCUAUUCUCUUUCACUGGCCACAUAUGUUUAAGACUAAUGUUAGGAAUUAUAUGUCUGUUAAGAGACAUCAUGUCCUACAAUUUGUUUUGAACAAAUCUCAACCUGAUAUUUAUGCUUUAUGAUAUGAGAGUUCAUACAUAUAAUAUGCAGUGAGACGAACCACAUGCAUCUAAAAGCUGGAAACUUCAAAUGUCAUGUUAUUAGUUCUUGUGGACAAACUAAUAACAUAAAAUCCAUAUCCUGCCUGCCCUAUAGAUCUUUGGUGGAAUCUUUAGUUAUGGAGUAGUUAUAUCUGCAGCCCACAUAUGUCUUUCUUUUAGUUUGAUUUUUUUAGUUCACACAUAUGACAACCGUAGGAAAUCGUCUGUUCUUCAUCAAUUGUAUACCAGGUCAUCAAGAUCUGACAUUGGUUCGAACUUGUUAAGCAGGCAUAGUCGGACAUGAUGUUUCCCACCACACUUAUACAUCAUGUUAUAAGUCAUAAAUACAGGUAGCUACUGAAAGACAAAAUCUUGUGUUAGUGUCUAAUGCCUACUCACUACCCAAUCUGCAAUAUAAAGAGAUGUUUUAUACAACUUUUUUCUUGCUCUAUAUAAGAACUUAACUAAGCGUUACCAAAACUCAUCACAAACUCUCUUGUCUAAAGCCUGAACUACAAAAAAAUUAAACAGGUCCUGGUGUUUAAUUUCUCAGUUUCUCUGAACUCUUAUCUGAAAGAUCUAUAGCAUAAUACCACCUCCGAUCUCAUUUGAUGAGCUUCUGAGUGUACAUUGUAGAACAGAGAUCAUCUUCCCAUACAAACUUUGUAGGGAGCCUAUAAUUUGAUACUCAAUUAAUUUAGCACGACCACCAACUUCCUUAAGAUGGACUUUGUUCCUUAAACAAAUAACCAACAUAUGGGGUGUCAAGAUGUAAAGAGUGCAGGAAGUUUAUACAAAGCUACAAACAUCAUUGGGUGCAGGUAGCUCCGAAUUCCCUUUUCGCACUCCCGUGUUAGAUGUUCAUACCUGUCAUUUAUCAACAAGAUCACAUCGCUCAACAGAAGUGUAAGUUGAAAGAAAAGGUAACCAAAAGACUUUCUUUCUACCCAAAUGUAACCCUGUACAACCUCUAAAGCUUGCCAGUGUUCAUCAGGGUUAAAGUAAUACUCUUGACAUUCAUUGAUUUGAUAAUCGAUAUGACUUCGUGAGCACUGGGCUUUAAUGGAUCAGAUAUGACAAUAACUCUAGUCAACUGCCCAUCUAUUGACACAAGAAUCCCAUUUUGAGCCAUUCCUUCAGCUUCUGCAAGCAUUUCCUCUGCAUCAAUUGGAAUACUAAUGGUGAGAUCCAACAUCAGGCUCUUGUUUCCACAUUUAUCUCUUUAUUAUGAACAACAGCUUUCAAACCAUGUCCAGUAAUAGAUUCAAGUCUCGAGCCUCGGGCUAGACGGGAUUUUCCACAUCCUCUCUGAAUUUCUUAGCAUACUCUACAAUCGCCUUGGCUGCUUGGCCAAAGGAUGCUCUGUAUUUACCUGAUACAAGUUCAUCAAAGAAGUACUUAUGAAUUAUGAUACAAGUUUUUUUAACAGAUGACAUCCAUAUCACAUUACCUAAUGCAGUUUGAUUUAUCGACUCAUAAUCUACAAUUCUGUUGAAUACAGUAAUUUUUGUAUAAACUCUUAGACUGAAGGCACAAAAAUGUAAGCCCUUAAACCAAGAAUUUACCUCAGCUGCAGCAACCAACUCGUAAAAUUCAGUAAGUACCAUAUUUCCUAGAAGUUUCGUGUCAACUACAUGUGGCUUGCCCAUUGUGAGAGUCCCAGUCUUGUCGAAGACAAUGCAGUUCACCUGAAUGAUGAUGGAAAGUGUCAACUAGUUUUGUAAAACACUGAAUAACUUUUCUUGAGUGCAUCACACUUAUAAAGUUCGAAUGAAGUAUUUGAAGUAAGAAAAUAUGAUUUUUUUUUUAUUGUUGAUAUACUUUUUUUUUACAUUUAAUCAUAAAAUUCAGCAUGAACAACAUUGGUGUGCUUUGAACCUUUCUGGGGCCUGGCAACCUUUGAUCAGAAUUCACCUGUCUAAUACCAUAAACGCAUUAAAGGCUGCCUUUUUUUAAAAGAACAGCCGAUAUUUGUAGUUCUUUUUUCUUCUGUUUCUCCUUUGCAUCAUUCAGCGAGAUUUUACAUUCAUUGAACAGAACAUCUUUUCUCUGUCGUCUGCUUGGGAGCACUAAACUUUCACUUUUAAUUGGGAGCCUUAAACUAUUACUUCUGAUCGGGAGUACAGAACCUUCAGAACCAUUCUGCUUUUUCUUAAAAAGCAUUCCAAAAAUAUUCUUCUUUAUGCUUUUAAGCAUUAUGUUUGGGUUUUUCUUGAAAAGACUUCCAAAAACAUUGUUCUCCAUGCUUUUAACAAAAGAAUUUUCAUAAGACUGAUCGGCCUCCAUAUUUUCAAGGACAACUUUUAUUUGUACCUAUAAAUAAUAGAUGGGUAAAGACAUAGCUGUACAAUUUGUACGAAUCUCCUUUAUUAUAUCUUUGUACCCAUUUUCCACAGCUAUGAAAAUUGGAGUUUUGCCUUCACUGUUUGGAACAUGACUAACAUUUGGAUCGGCCUCUACUAAGAGCUUCACUAUUGCCACAUAACCACUUAGAACUGCUAGAUGUAAUGUGGUGUUUCUUUCUUGAACAUUAGCUUGCCUAAUAAAAUUGUGAAAAUCACUGACUGGAUUAUUACGUCUGGCUGCUCCAAUGAGGACCUCAACCACUUGAGUGUGUCCCUGAAGUGAUGCAAGGUGAAGUGCAGUUUGUUCUGUUCUGUCCAGCUUGCCCAAAAAUUCCAUGGAACAUUAUCUUCAAAUUUUGUGAAACGCGUUAGAACUAGAGAGCCAACUUGGCCAACAUGGAUGCAUAAUGCAUGCAUCUGAUCUCAGUCCCUGCAUAAAUAUGAACACUGUUAUAUUUUACAUAAAGAAAAACAUCUGCUCUUGCUACUUGCCUCUUCAUCUGUUUCGUUGAAAAAUAAGCACUUGUAGUUGGUUAUUGUGCGCAAAAUUCAACAUCAUUCCAAAGAAUUGUAUUGAUUUGUAUUGUGACUUUGUGCGAGGCCUAUAUAGUUGACUUCCCUCGUCAACUUCUUUGGAAGGUAACUAACUUUAUCUUUUGCUAAGCAACUACUUGGAAGGUACCUAAUUUCACUUCCAAGUUCCUAUCAUUUUAUAUUAAUCUGCCAAUCUUGUGUUAGAAAUACAUCUUCUCAAUAAUGUCUAAAGUAUAGAUUAACUGACAAUGUUUUGAUUAGUUGCAGGUUUCUAUCCCUCAUACUAAUUUAAUUUUUGACCAGCUAAUUCACCGUAGCUCAGAAUGCCUCGUUUUGUCAGGUCUUCUUGAGUUUCAGAGGGGAAACCCGUAACAAGUUCACAUGCUUCUUGUACGAGGCACUGAAAGCCGAAGGAUUUACAACUUUCAUGGACAGAACUGCCAUACGUGUUGGAGAUGAAGUAGAUUCAACAAUCAAAGAAGGGAUCAGAAACUCUAUGAGCGCCAUAAUUAUAUUAUCCCAAAAUUAUGCCUAUUCUACUUGGUGUCUUGAUGAACUUGUUCUUAUCCUUGAACGCAAAAAGAACUCGAGGUACUUUAUUAUACCAAUUUUUUAUGAGGUCGAAAUUCGAGAUAUUAAACACCAGCUCGGAAAUUAUGGCCUUGCGCUUGAAAAGCAUAGGGCUAGGCACAAUGACAAGGUAGAAAAGUGGAAAGAAGCUCUUGCAGAAGUUGGUAAUAUUCUUGGACAGCAUGUAAAAGGGUAAUUUUUCUUCCUUUUCUUCACUGUAAUUCUUGGUUUGGAGCGCAAAUAUGCACCUGAGUUUGAAUGAUAAUAUGUUUCUUUUAUCACUUUCAGGCUGCAGAGCACCUUUAUCCAAAACAUUGUAAAAUUGUUUCGAGAGAAAUUGGCUGCCAAGUUCCCAGAAUGCCGCCUUCCUACACUAGAAGGUCCAGGUUCACAAGGCAGUUCUUCAUCGUCAAUGUUGAGACCUAAGCCAUCCAACUACAAGGUGAUUCUUUACACAAUUAGUGUUAAUAAUGGCCUAGGUGCAAAUGGGUUGGUAAAGAAACUUCUGAUGAGUGGGAAUGUUAUAUUUGAGGAGAGAAAUUGUUCAACAGAAUCAGAGUAUAUGAGAGAGCUAGAAGAGCUGGUCGGUAAUGAGUAAUGACAGGGUAAGGUUCCCUAUGGUGAUUGUGAAUGGGAAGGACUUGUGCGGAGAAGAAGAGGUGGAGGGGUUAGAUGAUUUCGAGAACAAGCAAAAGCUUAUAUCAGUACUGAAUCAUCUCUAUGUUUCUGCAAAAACAAUAGAAAACCUUCAUGACAUGUUUAGUAGGAGUUUAACAUUUCAAAGUAGUAUUCAGGACCAGUGGAUCAAUAGGAGAUACUCUUAGUGGUUGUGCUACUUCUUUUCCUGCUCUUUACCAUGUUUCUUUUAAUAUAAAUGUAACUAGCUCUCAUUCUUUGACUCUUCAUCUUAUUUAGUUUUGUGUAUGUCGUUAGGCUUUUGUCCUUUUAGGACUUGCUAGGCGAGCCUAACUUCCUAACUCUGACUCUGCCUUUGAUACUACUUGUCGGGCUUGCUAGGCGAGCCUAACACGACAAUAGUGACAAUAUUAUCUAUUUUGGGCCGAGCCGGCACAGCUUUGUUUUUGGGACCAUCUAAACAGGCAUCAUUUUAUUCGGAGUUGUUCUCGCUGCUUAUAUUCUAGCUUUAUGCCUCUUCACUGCCGAUCUAGGAUAAUUCCUAACAAUAGAAAUAUCCCUCCUGCAGAUGAGCUAAACUAAGAAUAUUAUCAAUCUCCGCAGAUCAUGUUUAUGCCUGAAAAGAAAGUUCUUUACUGCUAGUGAAUUGUAUUAUUAAUUCAAUGUUAUUAGUCCCCAAAUAAUAUUUCGUGCCUCUCUUGAAACAUAUAAUUUCCAGGCAUCCCUAUCAACUUUUUGAUCUUGUCUCUUGCAAUCUUUUCACUGCUUUGCCUAUCCCUCCUUUAGUAAUUCCAGACUUCUGUUCUGUCUCCUUACUUGACUCGAAUCCAUUUAUUAUAAAUUUUCACCAAACAUAUGGCACCACAAUUUAUUCGUUAUACCAUAUUUGUGUUUGAAAAUGUGGAUAACAAAGCCGCACAUUGUCAAGUCAUUUUGAGCAUAAAAUUGAGUGAGUCGUGAUAUAUAGCGUGUUCAUAACGAGUCAAGUUUGGAUUGUGUUUUCAAUUGAGCUCGCGGAUACAUACUUAACUGUGAACAAAAAAAAGUGGAAUAUCAAGGUGUUUGAAGAGAUAAAUUCAUUGGUCACUGAAUUGUCAUAAUACAGAGAAAAAAUUAUCUGCAUAUCUUUAUGAACAUUAAGAGCAAAGAUAUAAACAGUUAAUGUUAGUAGUUUUGACACUAAUCCAUAGCUUCAAAACACCUCCUUUGUCCAUGGCGACCCAUCAUGCAAACUUCGUGCUAUGGUCCUAAAACUAACCAAAGCAGCAACUGAUCCUCAAGCAGCUGCCCAUAACAGUUCCUACGGUCCAUCCAUUCCUCGAGAAAUGUUUAACAUAUUAAAUUACUUGUACACAAGUUUAAUCGCAGAACCAAACUCCAUUGGGCAUUAGGCUUCUCAAUUUUAGGCAACGAGUAUGAGCUGCAAUUAACAGAAAUGUUUAACAUAUUAAAGUUGUUGAAGAAGUUCAUGGAAAUGACAUAUAUACAAUUCUAGUAAAGCAUUCUUAUAUUCUAGGUAACUUACAUAUACGCUCAUGCUGGUUACACUUAGAGAUCACUUUGGUUAAAGCCUUCCGUGUCUCUUUUCAUUUGGCCCCUUUCCACAAAUCAUGCAACGCCAUGAUGAAUUGAUUGGCGAUGAUGAUGAGUAUGAUGAACUUUAUGGUGAUCUUAAUAUUGGAGAGGGUUUUCUUCAGCCUCAUCCGUCUGAGGCGCCUGGUCCAAAUUUUAGCAGGAUGGACACGCUACAAGAAAAAAGCUAACAGACAUCAGAUUUUGGCCGACGUCUUUCCUUUUUUCGACCGAUAUUGAUGUCGGUGAUGUUUAUACUAGACAUCAGUCGAUAACCGAUGUUUAAACCUAACUUACACAUCAUUUUUUUACUGAUGUGUUAGUUAGGGUCUGCCAGUGUAAUGUUUAUUUGUAGUUAUAUUAUAAUAUAUUUUAAUGAAAACAUGUGGCUUAAAAAUGAAUCGGUGAAAUAAAAAAAAUUGAUAAAACAUUAAUGCUUAAAUAAAAUAUACUCCCUCUGCCCUGUUGACCUGUAUACAGUUUCUAUUUUGGGACGUCCCAUCAAUUGUAUACAUACCAAAAAUAGUAAGUUUUAUAAUAUAAGAACUUAACUACACCCACUUUGUACCUUAAAUAUUAGUAGGUCCCACCACCUUACUCACACUACACUAAUUUUACACAUUAAAUAUUACUCGGUCCCACCACUUCACCCAAUUUUCUUACUUUUCUUCACUGAAUUUCACUUUUUCUUAACCUCCGUGCCACUCUUCGUAUGUAUACUACUCAAUGGGACGGAGGGAGUAUAUUUCUUUACCAAUUAAAAACAUAAUUAUUUCCGAUAUAAAUUCAUUGAUUUAAAUUUUAUGAUAAAAUUUGUAACAAGUUAAUUUACUAAAUUUGAAAUGAAUAACUAGUACAAAACAUUAGCUACCAUAAAAGAUAUUACCGUACAUGUCUCAAGGACGCGGAUUUCAAGGCGCACCGGAGCAUUUUCUUCAUUAUUUCGGAUAAUUCUUCCCACAAAUACUGAAAUAAGAUGAACAUCACAUUAUUUUUGCAAUAUAAAAUUUUAAGAACUAAUUUUAAAAUACAAAGAUACCAUAUAUGAUUCUAAGAAAAGAAUUAUAUUAAAAGAUUAAAGAUGAUUAAAGUGUGUCACAUUGGGCUUUCAUGUAAUUACAUUCAUCAUGAUCAAUUUACACUUUAUCGAAAACUUUAUAUCUUAGAUCAGAUCUCAAAGAUCGGAACUCGAUCAAAAAUCAAUUAAAUCCAACAUUCAAUUAAAUCCAAAUAUGUACAAACAGUAAUAAAUCCAAAAUAAGACGUAAAUAUAUGACAAUGGCUUACCGAUUAUGCAUGAAUUGGACACAAAUCAUCAUACACAUGAUAUAUCGAAAAAUAUCAUAACAAUGAUUGAUGUGGAUGGUGGUGAUAUAAUUUUUACACGAAAAAGAUGAUAAGUUAAAGAAGAGAAGCGGGUGUGAAAGGUAAAUUAGGAAGGAGAGGCUGACGCGGAAGGUAAGGUAGAGUUUCAAGCGGAGAUAACAAGGAGAUGAAGGGAUGAUUGUAUCAAACUAAGAAUGUAGGAUAGAUUUUUGUUAUAAAGAGAUGUUAUGCCCAAACUUCUCAUGGGCCCGGGAAGACCCACAAUUGAAGGACCAUCGGGAUGGGCUCAUUCAGUGGAUAUCACAAGUCGCUUCGGUUCACAGUUAUGUUAGACCGCCCUACAUAGCAUAGAAGGGCUUGCUAAUAAAAGAAAUUAUCUAGCCUUCCCAAGGAGCCAGGCUGCUAGAAUGAUGUGGCCUCUAGGGGUCGCUACCAUUGGGCUUGCUAACCUAGGCCUUGUUGACGGCAUUCCAUAGUGGGCUCGUUGGGAGGGCCUUGCUUCCUCACUUCAAGAUGACCCUGGCUGGAGAAGUAUGUUUUAGAGCAUGUUUGUCCCGGUUUAAAGUCGGGACUUAAAGUUGUUUCCAACCUUUAGCUGAAAAACGUCGGUCUGUGUAAUAUGUCCACAAGUUAGUUUGAGGUACUUUUUCGGUGAGUUGAUUUUUUAAACUUUUUUUGUUAAAAAAGUACUCAUAAGUCAUAAAUUACCUAUAAAUCACUUUUAUAUCUAUUAUUAUAUUUUUAAUAACGAAUAAGUCCUUAAUAAGUCAAAAUUACUCAAACAGAUAUUUUAAGCUCCAGCUUAUCUCAUAAGUCAUCUUAAGUCAUAAGUCACGUUAAGUAAUAAGUCAUAAACUCCGGCAAACGGGCUCUUAUACAUAAAGCUAGGAAAUUAUGGAUUCACACUAGAAAAGAAUAAAGCGAGGCACAAGGACAAGUGGAUAAAUGAAGAGAAGCCCUUGCACAAGAGCCCAUUUUGCUGAGCUUAUAUAUGAUUUAUGAUUUUACGUGACUUGUGACUUAACAUGACUUAUGUGAUAAGCUGAGAGUUUAAAAUGUCUGUUUGGGUAAUUUUGACUUAUUAAUGAUUUAAAAGUUAAUAAAAAUAUAUAAACAAAAAUAAAAUUGAUUUAUGGGUGACUUAUGACUUAGAGAUAAUUUUUAUGAAAAAAAUUCAAAAAAAUUUAAGUCACUACUGAAAAAAAAAUACCUCAAACUAACUUCUGGGUUUAAGUCAGCUUGUGUCUUAUUUCUGACUUUAAACCGACUUCUGACUUAUUAUUACACAGACAGACAUUUUUCAGCUUAAAAUUGAAUACAUAUUUAUCGACUCGUAAUCUACAAUUCUGUUGAAUACAGUAAUUUUUGUAUAAACUCUUAGACCGAAGGCACAAAAAUGUAAGCCCUUAAACCAAGAAUUUACCUCUCCUAAAGGCUACUACAUAUAUUCUUGGAUCUCCUCACUCCUUAAGAGGAUGAGCGAGGAAUGAAGACUUAUGACCAGUCUCGGUUAGGGGUGACCAAAAUACGGAAACUACAUUGAAAAACCAAACCGAAUCAUGCAAAUUCGGUUCGGUUUCGAAUGAAUCGAAAUAAAAUUCGGCUUGGUCCGGUUCUUAAAAAAAUAUUUCGGUCCGGACCGAAUAGAUCAAAUAGCCCAAACAUUAUAUGAUAUUAAUUUAUAUUUAUAUUAUAUAUAUUAUAUAUAUAGUAAAAGUUAUAAUUAUAUUAUUUAACUUUUAAAUGUAAUAAUAUCUAUUUUUGGUGAAAUGGUGGUGAUUAAUUAAUCUUAAAGUAUUUAAUAAAUCAUAUAUUUUAGCUUUAUUUAUAAUAUAAAUUUUUAUUUUUAAAAAUAAUUUAACCGACCUCAUACUCACUCUCAAACGAUUUUUUUUAGCAAUAUAACCCCUAAAGUUUAAAAAGCGCUUCGAUUUGCACCCCUUUGAUCAUAUUCCGUCAAAUUGAUUAUUAAAAGCGCUUCGAUUUGCACCCCAGAAUUGCCUAAAACCUCUAACUUCUAGAUAUGACCAUAGUCUUAAAAACCAACUUGACAAAUGAGCUAGGAACACUUCUAGACCAGUAAAAACUAGAAAGUCUUUGUAUAAUCAUAUGUCACAAUUGUGAAGUAUGAUUUGAGCCUUAAAGAUGUCAAUUGUAUAGUAAUUUAAUAACAACACGAUUCUUCCAUUACACUCUGCAUUUAUGUCAACUUAAUUUAGAAGUGUACAGCUAUAUUCUCCUAAGUUAGACAGGCAACGCAGGAAAUUUCGUGUUUUUAGUUUGGUGCUCAUCUGAUAGUUUUUCUUCAAAAUUGCUUGGUGUAUUUAUGUAGUAGAAAACACGAGCUGAUAUAAGCUGUCAUAUCUAUGAAUCCACAGUAAGGGUACAAUUCCUCUUUUAAUUUGAUCUCUAUAACUUUCUUAUUGCUCUGUAUAAACAUAUAAUCAGGCCUUGGAAAAAUUCAUCACAAACUCACUUGUCCAAAAGCAUUAUCCAUAAUUAUAUACAAAGUCCUAGUGUUUUCUCAGUUUCCCUGAACUCUCAUCUGAAAGAUCUAGAGCAUCAUGGGUAUCCGUAUGCCUCGUAUUACUAAAUUCGUAGAAAGCAGGGAUACUUCAUCUGGGUGAAGAACUGCGUAGGGGAUACUCGGGGGUGCAGCGGGAUACGCACGGGAUACGCCACGUGGCGUAUCGGUGGAGGCAGUGAUGGGGAUACGCGGGGUGCGGGGAUGGGGGUGCGAGAGUGGCACAAAUCGUAAUUUUUUACAACUUUUUUUUCAAAAAAAAAAACUUAAAAUUAGUUGGUCAAAAUCAUGGAAGCCAUGAUUAUGCUCGAUUGAUUCACCUAAAUUGCAAUAGUUAUUUAUGUAUUUUAAUUGUCAAGACUUAAGAACGAUUAAUUUAGUUAUUCCACUAUUUUGUUCUACUUAAAUGCAUCUUAUGAAUUAUUUAUAUAUAUAUUAUUAUUUAAUAUUUUAAUAUUUGCCGUAUCCACCGCACCCGUAUCCCCAUAUUUUGGAAUUUGACGAAUUCCCGUAUCCACGUACCGCGCACCCGCACUCCCGCACCCGCACUCAUGCUUCCUAGCUAAACUCAAACAAAUCCUUAAUUCACAGGUCAUCGUACUUAUUAAAUCCUGAUCUUGCGUCAGCAAUUCCAAAGGGGUGCUUGGCAGUUUAUAUUGGGGAGAGCCGGAGAGGCAAAGAAGCCGAUUUGUGGUACCCAUUUCAAUCCUGAAUGAGCCUGCCUUUCAAGGUUUAUUAAGUCAAGCCGAGGAAGAAUUUGGAUUCAAUCAUCCGGAAGGAGGUCUUACGAGUCCUUGCUCAGUGGACACAUUCAUUGAUCUCACUUCGCGCCUGACAAUUUAUAAUUGAAAACAAUUUGUGUAUUUUUAGAACAGAGGUUUUUCAUAUAAGUUAUGUAGGAAUAAUUAGGAUGAGCAUAAGUUGAUACUCAAUUUUUUUAAAUGUAUUGACCAUUCAUCUCAGUUUAUGUAUAUAAAUGAGAUUAGAACCAGUCAUACAAAACACCUCCAUGAAAGACUAGUUUCAAGAAUAACUCCAUGUAGAUAUUGAUGUCCUGAAUUACAAAGUAUCAGCCAAUCCCCUGCCUAAAAGAUUUACAUGUUUACAAUUCCUCGACUAGUUCACAAAAUUGGUAUACAACUAUCUAACAACAUAAAUAUAUGUAUCUGCCUACAUAUAUAAACUCUCAUAAUCUGUUCAACAGAUCAAUGAAGUUGUCUUCCUUGCAUGGAAUUGUGAGGCCACCUUCUGGAUGACUAAACCCAAAUUCUUCCUCAGCUUGACUUAACAGGUCUUGGAACGUAGGCUCAUUUAAGUAAGAGAUCGGAACUACACAUCUUCUUCUUUGGUUCUCCCCAACAUAAACUGUCAUGCAUCCCUUGGGGACAUUUGUACCACGAUCAAGAUUUGUCAAGGAAAAUUGACGGGUGAGGAUUUGCUUGAGAUUAGUAAUACGAGGCACGCGGAUACCCAUGACAAAAGAAAUGAAGUUUCAAGGGUAAACUUUGGGGAUAUGAAAUACAAGGACUUCUGCAGAUUAAUCAAAUGACUUUGACACUAGAUUACACUCAAAUUUAUAAUGACUUUGGUUAAGUUUCUGAUGGUGUUUAUAUAGAACUGAUAGAAUGUAUUGGCGGUUGAUCAAAAUGUAGAUUGAGUGGCACAGAUGCAUUAGGCAUUAGCACAUGCUAUUCUCUUUCAAUGGCCACACAUGUUUAAGACUAAUGUUAGGACUUAAAUGUCUGUGAGAGACAUCAUGUCCUACUAUUUGUUUUGAACCAAUCUCAACCUGAUUUUUUCUUAUCUGUAUUUAUGCUUUAUGAUAUGAGAAUCUACACAUAUAAAUAUGUAGUGAGAUGAACCACAUGAAUCUAAAAGCUAGAAACCUCAAAUGUCAUGUUAUUAGUUCUUGUGGUCAAUAGUUUUAAGUUAGGUGCUCAUGUGAUGGUGUUAUUAAUACAUAAUCCCAGCUGCUUCUUUUGCUGAAUUGAUGUGAUCAUGUACUAGAAAACUCCAGCUGAUUUAACUUGUCAUAUUUAUAAAUCCUAAAUAAAAGGGUAAAAUUCCCCUAAGAAACAAACUAUCAGAAUAAUGGCUGCAACUUUGUGAAGUUGUAGCUGCAUUAUGUGAAAAUAUCAUAUCUGGAAUAAGGGAGGUAUACUAUCUUGUAGGUGAUAAAGACAAUGUCAAUGAACACUUAGUUUGUCACCCGCGCCAAAACUAUUUACGACAAUUUAAAAACGUAGAAUUUAUAUCCUGCCUCCCAAAUAAACUUAGUAUGUAACACUUAGAAUGUAGGGCAGCAUAUGUUCUUCAGAAUUUAUAUAUACCACUUAGAAUGCAGAUUGAGUGGCACAUAUGCACACUAUUAAAGACAAACUAAUAACAUAAAAUCCAUAUCCUGCCUGCCAGAGAGAUCUUUGUAGGAGUCUUUAGCUAUGGAGUUGUUAUAUCUGCAGCCCACAUAUGUCUUUCCUUUAGUUUGAUUUUUUUGUUCACACGUAUGACAACUGUAGGAAAUCGUCGGUUCUUCAGCAAUCAUAUACCAGGUCAUGAUCUAACAUUGGGUCGAGAUUUCUUAUGCAGGCAUAGUUGGACUUGAUGUUUCCCACCACACUUAUAUAUCAUGUUAUAAGUCAUAAAUACAUGUAGCUACUGAAAGACAAAAUCAUGUGUUAGUGUCUAAUGCCUCCUCACCACUCAAUGUGCAAUAUGAUGAGAUGUUUAUACAACUUGCUCUAUAUAAACACUUAACUACGCGUUACUAAAAUUCAUCACAAACUCACUUGUCCAAAGCCUGAACUACAAAAAAAUAUACAGUUCCUAGUGUUUUCUCAGUUUCUCUGGACUCUUAUCUGAAAGAUCUAUAGCAUCAUGGGUAUCCGUAUGCCUCGUAUUGCUAAUCUUAAACAGAUCCUUAACAG